rnacentral:lncRNA from 1 species
GAGAACAAGGCGGCAACUCUGACUGGAUUGGACGGAGAAAUGUUCAAGUAUUACAAGAGCUUUAAGGGCAUCUAUCAGUUCGCUCAAAAGGGUAAUGUUAGUGUUGCCAACCUGACGAUUCACUAUGAGAAACGGAAUGCUGAUGUUGAAGCUCCAGAUAGAUUUGUUGGUCUCAUGGUUACCCUCGUCAGGGAUCUUGAUGCUCACUUUGCCAAGGCAUAAUCGAAUAUCAAAAGCAUACAUAUGUUAAUGCGUGCUUUUUCUGGUUAAUAUUAUAAGUAAUGCUUUGUUUUAUGUAAGUUUUUCUUUGUGGCAAGUGCAUGAAGGGAUUUCAUAUGUGAUAUAUUGUGAUGUAUUAGCUAUGUGGGUUAUCACAUACAUAAAAUAAAAUGCGUGGUGUGCUAUAUAUAUAUAUCUCCAGUUCUUGCUCAUCAUUCACAUAUCAAGUACAAAAUAGACUUAAAAAUCAACAAUAUCCAACUGGUAUAUGUUGCGCGCUUGGAUUCAAAGUACUUAAAAGAUCAAAAAAUUUGAAGUAUGUUGCGUGCUUGGAUUCGAAUUUUACAUUGAACACUUAGCCUUGUUGAUGAAAAAGAAACAAGCUAAAAGUAGUAAAAACGUAGUAGAAGCAGCUGGAAGCUCUUUCCUUCAUCAUUUGCACUCUCCUUUUCCCUCUUCAUCUCUCUCCUUCUUUAUCUCUCUGCCCUUCUUCCUUGUGAAUUUGCUGGUUUACUUUAAUAUUAACGAAUCUACAUAAAGAAAAGAAGGUGUUGCUGGAUGCGACGAAUGAAGGAUAGAUUCCACAAAAAAAAAAAGUUUUCACGUUCUUCCAUUCCAUAAGCAACACUGAAAAAUGCUCUAAUAAUUUUUGGACGAAACUCUCAUGACAACUUAAUCCAAAGCGUUCUUCCAUUCCAUAAGCAAUACUGAAAAAUGCCCUAAUAAUGUAUGGACGAAACUCUCAUGACAACUUCAUCCAAAGCAAACACAACUCAACCCAGCCGGCAGUGCAAUAAGCACCCAACCCAACCAGUCAAACCCUAAACCAGCACAGCAUCCUUCCCCUCAAAACCCACGACGUAAGUAACGUAAUUAAAUUCAUCUCUGUUGAUUAAUGGGAAGCGUAGGUCUUGCUUGCUGGAGGAUGGGAACAACACACACACACACACCAUUUCUAUAUUUAAUUAAUUUGGUCAUUAUUCAGUUGAAUAGCCCAUUUACAAAUAAUAAUAAUUUGACAGAUAAUGUGAAUUUGGAAACUAAAUUAUUGAUCUUUUAAAUACAUUAAUUUAUUUUUUUAUAUAAAAAAUAAAUAAAGGCAAGUGCAAAAGGUAUCUAUCAUUCUCGAAGUUUUUUACGCCACCUGCCUUAUUAGUGCAAAAGGUAAUUUUAAAAUUUGGAAAUGGGAGUCGGUGUGACUUUUGAAGAAAGAACGAAAACCCAAAGGGGAAAAAGUUAUACAUUAUUAUAUGCGUACCAUAAAUAAUGCAUGUGUGACUGAUCAAUCGAAGAUCUAAAAUGUUUAUUUUAUUAAAGAGUUGUCGAAUUUGACAAGUGUGGAUCAUCCCUGUCUGCCCAUUUGAUAAUUUCUUAUUGCCAAAUAGUUAAUAAGCAUGGGCUGGGAUAGGUCUGCAUAAUUAGAUUUGAUGAGGAUGAAAGCAAUAAUUGAGUUUUCGUUGAUUUUACAUCUCAGAAAGGUUACUCAUCUCUCGUAGUUUUUGCACUUUUAUAAAUGUGAAUCUUAUAAAGUAUUAUAACUCAUAACCAUUUUUCUUUUGUAGGCUUGAAGAUCUGGCAUUGCAUGCAUGAACACAUUUUCCGAUGUGUAUAUGAAUUGAAGAUCUCGCGUUGCAUGCAUGUACACUAACUAUGAAUUGAGAGAGUUUUUCUUCGGACAGUUGUCCAGCAUUCACUUUACCUAAUCAGGGAUUAGUAAAAUCCAAAUGAAAAAGAUGUGAUCAUUGAAAAGGUAAAUAUUUUUUAUUCUAAAAGUUCAAAUGAUUAGUUGAGAUAUAACCAUAUCAAAUACAAUAUUUUUCCCUAAUAGAAGAUUAGGGCUAAUAUUUGUCCUGCACCCGGUGAUGAACCGAAAGUAAUUGCACUUGUUCAUGGAUGUUGACAGCUAGCAAUAACACUCUUCUUACCAAAAAUAUUUAUAAAAAGAAAAAAGGUCUGUUUUUAUAUAAAAUCAACGACGGUUUUUACAAAAAAAAUCGUCAUCUUUAUAUUAAAAUAAUGACUGUUAUUAAUAAAAUCGUCGUCUUUACAAAUAAACAAUAACAGUGAAAACUCGUCAUAAUUGAUGUCAGUCGAUUUAACAACGGUUUUCAAAACAUCAUAACGACCGUGAAUCCUGUCGUCUAUUUCGUUUUGUUUACUUGAAAACUUGAAAUACCAUGUAAAAGAGCGAUAGGCAAACCUUUAUUUGGUCGUAUAUACAUAUUGCAAUUAGUGGCGGAUUCGGGAUUCAAAAGUCAAAUAGGCGAAACUUACCUUAAAAACUUGACGGUACGAGUGAAUUUUAUGCAUAAAAAUAAAAAGAUACACCUAAUCAGGGAGGACGUAAUGAGCCUUACCCUCAAAUAUGCAUAUCUAUACAUAAAUAAAAGCUUAACAAAAAAAGAAGAAGUAAAUGCAAUGCAACACAAAACAAAACUAUUUAAAUCUAAAACUUUACCCUACGAGGCUUAGAAAUCUUAAAUUCCUCAAUUAUAUCUUCAUUAUCAAUAUUAUUAACAAACUCUCUUUCAAUGUGGAGAAUCAUGCAAUCAGCAAGGAAUUCAUCAGCUAUGGUGCUCCGAAGUCUAUUCUUAAUAAUUCUCAUACAUGAAAAAGCUCGUUCUGUUGUUGCUGUAGAAACAGGAAGAGUCAACACCAAUUGAAUCAACCUAUAAAGCAAAUGAUAGUUUUUUGCCAAAGUUGUUUCCGCCAAUUGUUGACAUAACUGAGGAAGAGUGGUGAGGUCCUUAAAGCAGGGAAGGCGAUGCAUAUCAUUUUGAAAAUACCUCAACUCAAUUUUUAAAGUUUUCAAGUCACUUGGACAGAAAUCAGCGGGAUAAAAUUUCUUAGCAAGUUUACAUAGAUGCCCAAUAGUGAAUGAUUUGAAGGAAUUACAAGGAUCCAAUGCUGAGUUAAGAAUAAGAAGUUCAAUUGUUUGCUUUAGAAAUCUGUCAUUUAACUCCCUCAACAUGCAAUCUAUCACAUCAUUAAAUACAUCAACGCGAUAGUAAUGUUCAACUAUAAUAAAAUCUUUUUGUUGACAAGAACGACGUGUAGCCAUCAUAUAACGAAAACUCAUAUUAGGAACAUCAAUACUGUGUUGUUCACAAAAUGAUACCACACUCAUGAAUAAAUCAUCCCAACCAUGUGCUCUCAUAUCUCAUAACUGUGAUUUUGUGUUUUCAACAAAGUUUAAAGCACUUACAAUAUCUUGAGUUUUUGUUUGAAACACUUGACAAAGAAAGUUGGUCAAUCCCAUAAUUUUAUCCAUUAAAAGAAAUGAAAACACAAACUCAAAAGACAUAAUAGCAAUAUAGUUAUUCUCUGCAUUGCCACGAAAUUGUUGGUUAGGUCCAUAAUCACUGAAUUCCUGGAUAAGUGUUUUAGUCUUUUUAAAUAAACUCAUCAAACUUGUAAUAGAGGCAAAGUGAGAUCCCCAACGAGUGGCUCCAGCUCGUUUCAAACUACGACCUUGAUUAAGUCCUCUACUUGUCUCAAGUUCCCCACAAUCCAACAACUCUUUGAGUUUAGCUUUUUGAAUUAAAUUAGCUCAUUACGGCGCUUAGCAGAAGCACUAACAAAAUUCACAAUGUUAGUCAACAUUGAAUACAACUUUCACAUACUUAUAUUGCUUUUUAUUGUUUUUCUUAAAGGAGAAAGUUUGAGUGGGCUGGGCUAUUGUUUUUGUUAAAGGGAAAAAUUUGAGUGGGUUGAGUUUGAGUAGGGAGAAGAAAUUUGAUUGUAUUGGGUAAUUUUUGGUUUGGCAAAAAAUGGAGUAAGCGGCUGCCUAUUCUGCCCUUAGGGUAGGACCACCCUUGGUGGAUUGAGUUUGAGUAGGCAAAAGAAAUUUGAUUAUAUUGGAUGUUGGGUAAUUUUUGAUUUGGUAAAAAAUGAAUUAGGCCGCUGCCUACCCUGCCCUUAGGAUAGGACCGCCCCUUGCAAUUAUUACGUUAAUAUGAAUUCAUAUAAAAUAUAUUUUCAAUAAUUUAUAUAAAAUAAUUGUGUUGAUGUGUUUCAUGUGAUUCAUGAAGUAUGCAUGUUUCAAGCACUAUAUUUUUAAAGUUAUCCAAUAAAUUAAUAAAUAUUGCACCAUUUAGGUGUCGUCACUCAGACUCUCACUUGUAUUUAAGGGGAGCCCAAAUUAUGUUCAUUAACAUUCUGCCUUGUACACACGUCGAUCGCUACUUAUACUUAAUUCUGAGUAUCAUCACAACAACAACUGAUAGACAUGGCGCCUCUGAAAGGUAAGGUUGAGACUGAAAUAGAAAUUAAGGCACCAGCUGAGAAGUUCUACAACAUCUUCAACAGCCGGGCACACCACGUCCCAAACAUUUCUCCUGGCAGCAUUCAAGGAGUUCAGGUGCAUGAAGGAGACUGGAAAACACAUGGCUCUAUUAAGAGUUGGAAUUACACAGUUGGUAAGGUCAUCUAUAUACAUGUUACAUGUAGCGAGUGUACAUCUUUAAUUCCCUACCUAACAAAAUACAAUUAUGUCUUGUGAAAUAGGGGACGAAGUCGGGGUAUUCAAGGAAAAGGUGGAGUACAACGAUGAGAACAAGUCCAUAACUCUGAAUGGGGUGGAAGGAGAUGUCUUCAAGUAUUUCAAAAGCUUUAAGCCUGUCUAUCAAUUCACUCAAAAGGAUGAAGGCAGCAUUGCGACCUUGUCGAUUGCAUAUGAGAAAUUGAAUGACAAUGUUGCAGCUCCAGACAAGUACGUUGGUUUGAUGGUAAAUAUUGUCAAGGAUCUUGAUGCUCACUUUAUCAAGGCAUGAGGAAAAACAUGCAACGGUGAAAAGAGCUACGUACUGCUUGCUGGUUCAUCGUUAAAGUUCAUGAAUUAUAUUAUCGUGUUAAUUAAUGCGUGCUUUGUUUAAUUACAAGUAGUUAAAAAAUGCUUUGCUAUGUAUUUGUGUCAAGGGGAUGUCAUAUGUGAUAUUGUGAUGUAUUAACUAUGGUUAUCACAUAUAUAAAAUAAAAUGAGUGGUGUGCUGAUGUGUCCAGUUUUUGCUCAUCAUUCGUUAUAUCAACCACAAAUAGCCUUAAUACUUAACAAUUAUAACAAGUUACAACCCAACUGGUUUGGACGAAAAUGUUCAAUUAACUAUUUACCCCAAAAGAUAAAAACUAAAAAUAUUUAAUGUGAUAGGAACUUCCAUUACUUCGGUUUGCCAAAAUACAAUUGAUGUUUCAACAAAAGAAAAGAUUGAUUGAUGUUAUAGUCUGAUAACUAUGGUUAUCACAUAUACAAAAUAACAUGAGUGGUGUGAUGCGUCCAGUUUUUGCUCACCAUUCGUUAUAUCAAACUACAAAUAGCCUUAAUACUUAACAAUUGAAAAACAUUGAAAAAAAAAGAUUGGGGAUAAUUAUUGGACAAAGCCAAAGCUGAAUUGCGGAGAAGUCUUCCAAUUUUAGUUUGCAGUUUCCAUCUAAUGCAUUUUUUAUUUGCUUCAUGGUGUGACUGGCACUCAAAUAGAGCCUCCAUAAGUUCUAAGACUCGGUUGAAAUAUCCCAUUUUGCAUGUAAUGUCUACAACACAUUGUGGCGUUAAUUAGUUGGAUUGAUCUAAGUUUUUGUGUACUCCCAAACAGUCAUGAGUUUAAAUUCUUAAUUGUAAUUGUGUGUGUAAGUUUCCCCCUCUCCAAUGGCAGAGUCAGAAAAUCUAUCAAAAGAGGUCAACCUCAAAUGACAAGAUUAACACAAAAAAAAAAAAAAAAAAUCAUCUGAUAAUAAAAUCCUUUGUAUUAAUUUCUAUAUCAUUCCAAAAUAUUUACAACAGAGCAUAGGUUGUACAUCUUCAAUUUGAAUUGUCAUGCUUUUGAGUUUGUUUUCUAGGGUAAGAUGUCAUGCUUUUAGAUUUAGGUAAGUAGGUUAAUAAUUAUUAAGUUAUUACAAAUAAAGAAAUAAUUAAAAGGGUAAGUAGCAUAAGUUUGGGACAUGGGACACAAAAUAUUUCAUCUUUAUUUUUAUAGUUUUUUCGCCAAGUAAGAUGGUGAGAAGGGUCAAAUUUCAGAAAUACUGUAUAAAAAAAUCAAGUACAAACAUGUAAAAGAUCAAAUAUGCAAAACAUGAGAAGGGUCAUUUGACCACUGUGUUGAUGUGAGUCUCCUAAUUAAUCAAUGAGAUUUUAUUUCCUUGAUUAAUUAAGGAAUUUACUUUUUUAUUUUAUAUAGUUAAUUGUAUAAUUAGGAGAUACUAUCCUAAUUGAUUACUGUAUCUAUUUCCUUGUAAAACACUCAUGUAAAUUCAUAUAUACCUCCUUAUGGAGAAGAAUAAAACUUAACAUAAAGUUUUCAAACUAUAUUCAUAUUUUAGCAUGAUAUCAGAGGAAUCGAUCAUAGGUUGUCUCUAAACCUUCAUAUAAUUUCUCAUAUUCAAAUCCAAAACCCUAAAUCAAAUUCCUCACAACCAAAUCCCUCAACUCUAAAGUCCUCAAAUCCUCUUAUCAAAAUUCCUAAACACAUACCCUCAAACCUCUCAAAUCAAAUUCCUAUAUAAAAUUCAUACGUAAUAUUCCUCAAAUCAUAUUCCUUCAAUCAAAUUCCCCAAUCAAAUUCCUCUCAUUCUCAUAUUACAUCUUACUUUCGCUGAAUUGUCAGGACCCCCUACGAUUCUGUCCCUUAUUGUAGACUCACAUAAGCAUGCGAUCAAUCCUACUAACCCGACUACCCGGACUCGUGCUUCUAUCGCCAUCCCGAAAGGUUUUGGUUUUCAUACGUACUCUCAAAAAUCCGCAUGGAUUAUUGACUUGGGUGCUACGGAUCACAUGACAUUUGAUCCUGGCCAACUUAUUAGUCAUAAAUCAUUCACUCUAUCGGUGGUGUCUAAUGCUAAUGGUACCUCUUCCUCUAUGGUUGGGGAGAGCUCUCUAUCUCUCUCUACUUCCCUACAUCUGGAUUCUGUAUUAUGUACCAUCCCACAUCUACUAACGGAGAGGGAGUGAUGUGCCUUAUAUGUACAUGCCCACCUCCAUCUAGCACGAGGCAUUUUGGGAGCUCAUUGGCUUCGGAGUCAUGAGAACUCCGAAGUUAAGCGACUUGGGGCUAGAGCAAUCCCAGAAUGGGUGACCCACUGAGAAGUUGCUCGUGACAAUUAAUUGUUCCAUCCUUGGACCACAACUUAUUGUCUGUUGCACAACUUACUACUACUCUAGGGUGUACUGUAAUAUUUUGGUCGAAUGAUUGUGUUUUUCAAGACAUCCUCAUGGGAAAGACGAUUGGUUAUGGUACUCGGUGGGGCAAACUGUAACACCCCGACUCCAAAUUAAAUUCCCUAUUUAAAUUAUUUAAUUUAAUUACAUAUGAAAUUACGAAUUUACCCUUGGGGUAGGGGUAUUUUGGUUAUUUUCUUAUACAAAGAGAUUUUGGGGGUAACAAAUGGUAUUUUUAGGUAGAUCGUACUGAGAUGAGUCUGUAGACACGUAGUGGACUCGAAUCGGAGUUGUAACGAAGAAGUUACGAUCAAAACAAGUUCAAUGGUAUAACCGUAAUUUCCUCGAAGUUGGUUUGAUAAAAAUCUGAUUUUUGUCUCUCUCUCUCUCUCUCUCUCUCUCUCUCUCUCUCUCUCUCUCUCUCUCUCUCUCUCUCUCUCCAGUGCGAAUCCCCCUUCCGCGUCAAACAACAGCAGCGGUUUUUCCACCACCAUUGCUGCCACACGCCACCAUUUGAGGUGGCACUAGUCCUAAAACGACCGGCUGGUCUUCCUCUUUCAACCCUAGCCAAGCCCCGCUACCAGCAGCCGCGCGAUUCUCCAGAAUCUACAGAAAUAGCGUCGGUUUUUCUAAAAAUUUAAAUCGCUCAUUCUCUCUCAAUUCUCCACCAAUUUUGUCGUGUAAGGUAUAGAUUUCCACCUAUUGUCCAUGAUCUAGCUGAUGGUUAGGUAUGAAUUUAUCAAUUUUGAGCCUACGUAGUUUGAUUUUCGAAUUGGAUUUCGGCCAAUUUUGGGAUCACGAUUUUAGCCACUUCCGGUCACUUUUUGGAGUAGGCCCAAGAACAAAAGUGACUCUAAAUAGGGUGUUAUACCUAGAGUAGGAGUCUUGAGCCGUAAUUUUGAAUAUUUCUGGUAAAUCAUUAUCGCUUUGGACACCCACGCACUGUUGGUACGUGUGGCGCGCGUGGGCAAUGUAGCAAAAUGGGCAUUAUGUCCCGAUGUGAUCUCCUGGUACUCACGAGCGCGUAAGUACUUUCGGAUUCCAAUUUGAUUAACGUUUGAACAUCGAACGAAUUUCGCCUAUUGUGCAUUAUCACGGUUCGAUAUGUUCGAAUUGUUGGAUCGUCUCAAAUUUAAUAUAUGUUACUCUAGACUUUCCUAGGAUCGUGUAAGAAUUCGCAGAUCAUGAAUCGGAGUCCCGGAUGUUCCGAUUCAAUAACUUAAAGUUUGCAUUUUACGAUAAACGUCCGAUCGUGAGCGAUCAAACCGUCCGUUUUGGACCAAAUUUACAAGACGUGUGUUCUAAACCUUGUGAACCUUUAGGAACUUAUUGUCUCGUUCCUCAUACACUCACUAGAAACCCUGGAAACUAGGAUUUUAAUUCAAUGUUAUCGUUCAAAACGCUUUGUGUUAAUCUCGUAUUCGUAUUCUGAAAUAGGUACUCCGACCACGUAUACGCAGCAGGCGGGACCCUCUCAGGGUCAAGUAGCGUGGGACUACCUGUGAGUGGACUUUGUUUUCAAAUCUUAUGCAUGAUUUUAUGAUGGGAGAAAGUAUGCAUAGUGUUUUAAUGGUGUAUUGGAUAUAUUAUUUAUUCAAUUGUUGAAAUUGAUAUUUUUAUGACGCAUUGGCAAUAUAUUUUGGGUUUUGACAUAUUUGAGUAUCUUGAGUAUGUAUAUAUGGAUUUUGAGAAAUUCUAUCUAUAAUUGUCUAUGUGUGGGGUAUUUGGGUUGUUGAGAUGAGAUUGUAGAAAGAAUUGAGUAUAGAAUGUCAAUUUGGAAUCCUAUAAGCACUACCCUAUGUACCUCCCUGAAUUUGGAACUUGGAUACGGAAACUUGAGAUACUUGGAAAUGUUGGAACCCGGGGCAUCCUUGACGGGGUGUUGCUGUGGACCCUUGAUUGGGUAGUUUGCGCGCGUAGGACUGGUCACAGACGUACCAGUUUUGAAGGUGUCGGCCGCACGUGCUGGCUGAGAGUUAGUCCCCUAGUUGGACGGCUCAUUCCCUAGCCACAUGGUCAAUUGAUGAAUUAUUUUAUGUGGGCUCUUCCAUGUGGACUAGUCAAACAAUCCCCCGGUUGGAUUGUUUUCCCGGUACAACUAGGUGAUUGUCAUAUUUAUAUUAUAUAUAUAUAUACAACUAUUCAUUUGUUCUUGUUUCUCGAUGAGGAUACUUCCUUACCGGUCGUGCCAAUGGGUACGCUUUCAAGAGUUUAGUUUUUGGGACUUAUUAUAUUUAAGUGGUGGGUUUGUAAAGUGUUCUUUAUGGAUUUCAGACUUGGCAUCCGGUAUUGAUUUAACUUGAUAUGUAUAUACUUGACUAUGAUGGUUUUGGGAUGCAUUUGGAUUUCUUUCAUGGUUUUCUAAAUGGUGGGGGUUAUAUUAUGUUGGUUUACACUGAACUGAACUUUAUUUUUGUCCACUCACAGUUUUCUGUUUUGCGCCCCCCAGCCAGUAGUUGAUUGAGCUCCACAGCCGAGCCGGAUUGUGUGCUUCUAAAUCUUGAGUCUUCGUAGGACUCUUUCAUCAUGUUAUUCCCGUUGAACUUUGUUUUUGUUGUAAUCAAAUUUUCUUAGAUAUGCUCUGUUAUCGCCCGUGCUAGGGUUUGAUUUUUGAGGCCGGAGGCCUUUGUUGUAAACUGUUUAUUCGCCUUAAAGCAUGUUGCUGGUUGGGAUAUCAAAUUGUGAAUUUUGAGCAGGUUGAAAUUUGGGAAAUGUUCAAUUUGCAGGGGCGACUCUGUCAAAAUUUUGGUAGGAAGUCUCUGUCUUUAGUAAGUGGGCCCGACAUCUGGGUGAUAUCGAAAAUAAGUGGGCCCGACAUCAGAGGAAAUCCGGGGUGUGUCCUGUCACAAACUCUACUACUUGGACUGGGCGCCGGAUAGUGUGACCAAGAUUGGUCAAGCUUUCACAACUAGUGGAACUCAUUCUGAGGGGGAGAGAGAUAAAGUUUGGUUAUGGCAUAAACGUCUUGGGCAUGCCUUGUUCUGUUAUCUUAAGAAGUUGUUUCCAUAAUUAUUUUUCAGUCUUGAUGUUCCUAACUUCCAGUCUGAUAUGUGUGAAUUGACUAAGAGCCAUCGUGUCCCGUUCCCAUUAAGUUCACAUAAAAGUUUGAUUCCGUUUUCUCUUAUUCAUUCUGAUAUUCGGGGACCUGCUAAAAUUGCCACUCUAGUAGGAGCCCGAUGGUUUGUCACGUUUAUAGAUGAUUGCACACGCAUGAUUUGAGUUUCCCAUCUCAAAACUAAAGAGGAAGUAAGUUUCAGGUUUCAACAGUUCCAUCAAAUAGUGUUUCAUGCUAGAAUUUAGGUUUUUCGUUCUGACAAUGGAGAAGAAUUUCUUAACCAUGAUCUUAACCAAUUCUUACAAGAUCAUGACAUCAUACAUCAAUGCUUAUGCCCUUACACUCCCUAAUAGAAUGGAGUGGCUAAAAGAAAGAACAUACAUUUCUUGGAAGUAGUUCAUGCCUCUCUCUUUGGCGCCAAUAUGCGUCGAUCUUUUUGGGGAGAAUCCAUCGUCUCUGUAGCAUACCUCAUCAAUCGGAUUCUCUCUAGUAUCAUAAAUUUUCAAACACCACUUCAAACACUUCACCACCAUAUCCAAAUACCAACCUGAAACCCCGGAUUUUCUGCUGUGUUGUAUUUGUCCACUUACAUGAUCACCAACGAAGCAAAUUGGAUCUUUGAGCCAAAAAGUGUGUUUUCAUUAGCUAUGUACCUCAUUAGAUAUGAUACCGGUGUUAUCAUCCUCCUAGUCAGAAUGUCUAUACCUCCAUGGAUGUUGUGUUCCGGGAACACGACUUAUAUUUUUCAGCAGCACAUGAGGAGAAUCGAGAAUCCACCACUCCUCAAAUUCUCUAUUUUUCCCCCCAAGAAGUCACUAUACUUCAAAACAACCGGUCACCCUCAUUUAGCUCUUCGAGCAUGGAGAAUUUGCUUCAAAAUGACCUGUUGUAAGAGGAAAGCGACCGGUCACCCCCUUAGUUCUUCAAACACGAAGAAUCUGCUUCAAAACUACAUGUCGCCAGAAAAUAGUGACUAGUCAUAAGAGGAAAAUGAUUAGUUGUCUCCAUGCUGUCAAACUCAGUAGGAGGAAAUUGAACCGUUUUUAAAAAAUGAGAUUUUGCCAGCUCCAAAGAAUUCUUCAACUCCAGUACCACACCAAUCACCUGUUGAGGAAGUCAAUUAGAUACCAUCUUUCCCUGAAACUGAUAACACUAAUGAAAUAUCCCACGAUGAUUUGAUUUCAGAAGGUACAAAGCCUACAUAUCAGCUUCUAGAAAGGAAGAACCGUGACAAACAUCGAAUACAAUAUGAAGCAUAUCUUAAAGCCAAAGGAAAAUACCCUAUCAAUAAUUAUAUAUCUUUUAGCAGAUUAACAGAGGCAUGUGUGCACUUUGUGAAACAGUUGACUGACAUAUCUGUCCUCAACAGUGUGACUGAAGCACUAGAAGACCCCAAAUGGAAAAAAGCCAUGAAUGAAGAAAUGCGAGCCCUCCAAAAGAAUGUCACAUGGGAACUCGUGCUCUUACAUCGUAGAAAGAAGACAGUAGGAUGCAUGUGGAUUUAUACUGUGAAAUUCAAAGCAGAUGGAUCCAUUGAAAAAUAUAAAGCUAGAUUAGUGGCAAAUGGGUACACAGAGAGAUAUGAGAUAAACUAACAGGAGACCUUUGCCCCAGUAGUCAAGAUUAGCACUAUCAAAGUCCUAUUAUCUCUAGCAGCAAAUCUCGAUUGACCAUUACAUUAGUUUGAUGUCAAAAAUGCAUUCUUACAUGGAGACUUGGAAGAAGAAGUAUAUAUGGACCUACCACCAGGAUGUAAUUUAGCUCGUGACAAGAAGAAUCAUGUUUGCAAGCUCAAAAAGUUAUUAUAUGGAUUAAAGCAAUAUCUUAGAGCAUGGUUUGACAAAUUUACUAAAUCUAUGAAGAAUUUUGGAUAUACACAGAGUAAUUCAGAUCACACCCUAUUCGUGAAGUGUGAUGGAAGAAGACUUACUGCAUUGAUUGUUUAUGUAGAUAAUAUAGUCGUAACUGGAAACGACAUCGGAGAGCAACUAAAGCUGCAAAAGUAUUUGUCUCGGGAAUUUGAGAUGAAAGAUUUAGGUGAUCUGAAGUACUUUCUUGGAAUUGAGGUAGUAAGGUCAAAUACUGGUAUAUUUCUGUCUCAAAGGAAGUAUGUAAUGGAUCUACUCACUGAAACAGGAAUGCUUGGGUGUAAGCCGGUUGACACAUCUAUUGAGAUGAAUAACAAGUUGUGUGAAGACAUGGACCAAUAACCAUCUAAUAAGGAACAGUACCAACGCUUCAUUAGAAGGUUGAUAUACCUGAUACACACAAGACAAGAUAUUGCAUAUGAUGUGAGUGUGGUUAGUCAAUUUAUGCAUUCACCCAGUGUUUUUCAUAAGAAUGCAGUUGAUCGGAUCUUAAGAUACUUAAAGUCAGCCCCUGGGAAAGGAUUAAUGUUCUCAAAAAAUGGAGAUCUUGAAGUUGUUGAAUAUACAUAUGCUGAUUGGGCUGGUUCCAUUACAGAUAGACGAUCUACUUAUGGUUACUUUACAUUCGUAGGAGGUAACCUAGUCACUUGGCGGAGUAAAAAAUAAAAUGUGGUUUCUCGGUCUAGUGUAGAAGCAGAGUAUCGAGGAAUGGCCCAAAGAGUUUGUGAAUUAUUAUGGAUUAGAAAACUCUUGACAGAAUUGGGCUUUGAGCUAGAAAAUCCACUAGAGUUGCAUUGUGACAACAAGUUAGCUAUCGAUAUUGCCCAUAAUCCAGUUCAACAUGAUUGAACCAAACAUGUUGAGGUGGAUAGACAUUUCAUCAAGGAAAAAAUUGAAAAUAAGAUCAUCAACCUACCAUUUGUAAAAUCAAAAGAUCAAUUGGCAGAUGUCUUAACAAAAGCUGUUUGUGGAAGAGUGUUUCAUGACUCAAUUACUAAGUUGGGCAUUGGUGACAUAUAUGCACCAACUUGAGGAGGAGUGUUGACGUGAGUCUCCUAAUUAAUCAAGGAGAUUUAUUUCCUUGAUUCUCAUUGAUUAAUUAAGGGAUUUACUUUCGUAUUUUAUAUAGUUAACAAAUCAUUGUAUAAUUAGGAGAUACUAUUCUAAUUGAUUAUUGUAUCUAUUUUUUUAUAAAGCACUCAUGUAAACUCCUAUAUAUAUCUCUUUAUGGACAAGAAUAAAACUUAACCUAAAGUAUUCAAACCAUAUUCAUAUUUUAGCACACUGUGAGCCUUAAUUGGCUCCGCCCACGCCCCUUUCCUUCCUAACUUUGACCCAAAAAAAAACAUACGAAUAUUAAAUUCUACGUUCUCAAAGUGGGUUAGUUCCAUGAAUCAAGUUCACUGAUAUACUCUAACUAAAUUAAGAAAUUAAAUUUGGUACGGUUUUGUUUGGGAUCCAAAAUUUAAAUUUGAUAGGUAUAGAUAGUACAUGUAUACCUACCAUGUUAACCAUUCUUAACCAAUUUAAUAAAUUUGAGGACUCAAAUUAUGAGUCUGUAUUGUAACAACCCGAUCCUAAAUUAAUAGUUAAACAUUAAAUUAUUCAAGGAAAAGACAAUUUUACCUUGGGAAUAUUGAAAUGAUUUAAGGGUUGACUUUUUAUUCGGGGGAGAUUAAAUUAUUAAAAUAAGAGAAAAUAAAUUGAAAUAAACAAUAAAAUAAAAUGAUUUGAAUUAAUUAAGGUUUUUGAAAAUUAAAGAUAUUAUUUAAUAUAAAAAGGGGUAAAAAGGUCAUUUUAAGUUCGAGAAGGAAUUUGGAAAUUCAAAUAAGACUGUUGCAUAGAGCACGUCGAGACGAGUCCUUAGACACGUAGUGGGCUUGAAUCGGAGUUGUAACGAAGAAAUGGCGAUCAAGAAUAGGCCAGUGGCAUAAUCGUAAAUAUUUCGAAGUUCAGUUUUUUAAAAACCCAGAAUUUCUUCACUUGGGCAGCCCGACCAGCCAAAUUCGGAUCGUGAUUUCUCCUAACCCCCGCCAUUGUUUCAAGCAAGACCGGUCCCAGAUGAACCACCACAUUUCUCUUUUCUAGUUCCAGCCCUUCGCCGCCUCAAUCUACCGUCGUAAUCGUCAGAAUCAGCCACGAAACAGACAGUUUUGGAUAGAUUUUUCUUAAACUUUCGCCGGCUGUUUCUCCCUCCUCUGGCCACCAAACAGGUUAAAUAAGGUAUUCUUUUCCACCUAUUUUUCGAGCUCUAGCUGAUGGUUGGGUAGGAUUUGAUCGAUUUGUAGCAUAGAUAACCCGAAAUACGAAUUGAAAUUUGGCCGAUUUUCAAAUUGAAAUUUCGGCAACUUCCGACCAUUUUUCGGGGUAGGUCCAAGAACAAAAGUGGUUCCAAAUGGGGUUUUACACCUAGGGUAGGAAUUUGGGCAGGCGUUGUGGCAUUUUUCGGCCACUGGAAUUUACUCACGACAUCCACGCGCUGCCGGCGCUUGCGGCGGCGCGUGGACCAGCCUUUGGACCGGCUUAGGGUUUCAGAAUGAUCUCCUGGUCCUCGUGAGCGUGUAGGUACUUUUGAAUUUCAAUUCAGACAACAUUUGAACACCGAAACGGAUCUCGCUUAUUGUGCGAUUUCUGGGUUUGAUACGUUUGAACCAUUGGAUCAUAGUCAAUUUCAUAUAUGUUAAUCUAGAUAAUUCCAGGAUCGAUAGGACUCGACGGAUCGUAAAAUGGAGUCCUGGAUACUCCGAAAAUGCCAACCCUAGGGCUAGGUUUAUAGUAAUUAUCCGAUUGGGCGAUCAUGGGUAACCCGACCUUUCGGUCAAGACCAAACUCUCGGGACAUGUGUCCUUGGCACAUUGGAACCUUUAGGGACUCCCGAAUUUGUGAUGGGAGGUUAUGGGCCCCGCGGGCUCGGUUGAUCAAGUUUAGGCAUUUGACCCCUCGGUUGACCAUGGGUCUUCUGAGGUAGUUUUAUCCUUCGAGAAAUGUUAGAACGACGGUGUAAACGGGUCCUGAUCGAAGACUGAGUCAUUAGGAUCAUAUCAUGGUUUUUCAAACCCACCACAAGGGUAUCCCGUAGUUGCUUUGAAAUAGUGUCAUUUAUAUAUAAUGUCCCAUGUGUUUCGGGGACUCCUGAAUUGUGUGGUGAGAGGAAUGCGGCUCAGGCUGACUAAUGGUCCCCUGAGGCUUACGAGGAUUGCACUCGAAUAGCAGUGAUAUCUCCGAGGCCUACGAGGAUUGCGGCUUGGAUAGAAGUGGUAUCUUCGAGGCCUGCAAGGAUUUGCUGCUCCGAUAGAAGUGGUAUCUCCGAGGCCUGCGAGGAUUGCGGCUCGAGUGGACUUGGUGUCUCUGAGGCCUGUGAGGAUGGAAUUGACGAAUCAGGAAUGGGGGUACGCCUAGGUGGAGAGAAUUUCAGUUUUGAGAUGUUCUUAAACUAAAAUAGAAGGAGUUCAGUGCAUGACAUAUUUAUAUUCAGUAUAUGAUUGAUACGAGUAUUGGGAAGUUACAAAGUAUUGCUUUAGAGUUGUGAAUACGAUUGAGUAUAACACACACAUGAGAAUUCAGUUUGAUUUGCAAAACACAUGGCAAUAUGAUGAAUGAAUAAGAUAUUCAAUUACAUUAUUAAAGGGAAAGAACUACCUGUGGCUUGAUCCCUCAGUAGGAGUACGUAGGCAGUCUAAUGUUAGAAGGUGCAGCCACGAGUUGGAGUCUUUGAGAUUGCUAAUGUACUAAUGGAUAUUUUGAAAGUUGAGAUGAACUUUAUUAGUAGAAUGAUUUAUUUGAUUGGUUGAGGCCAAAGGCCAGAAUGAUAUGAUAUUUGAUUUCUUGGAUAUAAUUUAAUGUUUGCUGAACAGUUGGGUUAUAUAUGUAUAUGCUUAUUUGAUAGGUGGAAGUUUUGGGGAAAUGAUCAAUUUACAGAGGAGACUUUGUCGAAUUUUCGGCAGAAGUCAAACUUAAGGAAAUUUGAUUUCUAGUUAGAAGGGCAAUUUGGUCAUUUGUGCCUGAUAUUUGUCAGGUUUCGGACACACACAGGGUUCGGCUUAGAUUCCAAAGUGAAAUUUGAGUCGGGUCCUAUCAUGUAUGGUUGGAGGAAAAAUAUUUUAAAUCCGGACAAUACAUGAAUAAUUAUAUUUUAAAGAGUGAAAAUUUGAGUUUAGUCCCAUCAUAGUUGGAGAUGACCUUACUUGUCUUCUCCGCACAUAUUGUGAAUCACAAUUUUUGUGGAAUCCCUUCUAUCAAUGGUAACACUGACAAAUCUCGAAAUACACCAACCCAGUUAUUAAACUACUCGACUAAACUGUUCGACUUCUCCCCAUAAUGCAUUCCUUUAAAAAAUGCGUUGGCAUAGUGAUCUCUAGACAAAUCAGAUAUAAAUGUCUUCACUUUCAAACUCCCGACAAUCACCAACUCAUAUAUUGCUACUUUAAACUCUUCCUCUGUAACAGCAUAUGCUCAUCUACUAAAUAGAUUGAUAACAUGGUCUUGGAGCAGUUUCCCAUAACUUGACUUCGGGUACUUUGAUAUCAAAUUUUGUUUGAGGUGAUAGUAACAGUAGGAAUGAGGCCAUCCAGGAAACACAGCCCCCAUUGCAUUUAACAAACUUUGAUUACAGCCCAAGAAAAAAGUCACCAUUCUCCCCAUCGGUGGCAAUAUAGCAACCAAAUGUUGAAGAAACCAAGUCCAACUCUCCUCUGUCUCAGAAUCAAUAACUAAAACAAAACAAAAGGCACAAGUAUAAGCAACAAACGGAAACUGCAGUGCAUUCUAUGAAAACAAAUCUUCUCAAAUUUGAAAGGAAACCAAAAGGCAAAUCCAUGAUCAAAGUACAAAAACUAAGUUCAAAAUACAUAGAAGUCCAUGAGCGGGUGUAACAUUCCCACAGACUUGCAAAUACUAUUCUGAAAUUGAAUUAUGAAACAAGAAACUACAACAAAUGGAAACCGCAGUGCAGUUUAUGAAAACAAAUCUGCUCAAGUGUGAAAAGAAAACUAAAGGAAAAGCCAUGAUCAAAGUACUAAAGCUAAGUUCAAAAGACAUUUAAGUCCAUGAGCAGUUGUAACAUUCUCAUAGACUUGCAAAAAAUUAUUCGAAAAUCGAAUUAUAAAACAAGAAACUGCACUGUAGUUUAUGCUCAAAAACUCCAACAAACGGAAUUUGCAAUGUAGUUUAUGAAUGCUCAAAGAACAAUUGACAACACACAAACAAUAUUACACAAAACAGUAAACAUAAUCUGCAAUGCAAAGUACACAAAAUGCCAGCAAUAUUACACAAAACAGUAGUGCAGAUUAAACAAAAAUCCAAUACAGUGCAAUAACUACACCUUGAUUCCCAUUCUUGCCAGAAGCACAAAAAAGAUGCCCCUUGUACUUGCUCUUAAAAAAUAUAGCAUCAGUGAACAACAAAGGGAUGCAAUAUUGAAAUCUAGCAAUUAAAUAGCCAAAUGAUACAAAAAAUGGGCUAAAUCGAUUAAUUCCAUCUUCACUCGCAUAGAGAACCACCGUUAGUUUCCUUAAAGGCAUCCAUGUACCACACUAACUCGUUGAAGGACUUCGACUCAUCACCAUGAACGUCCAGUUUUGCUAACUCUUAGAUACUGUAAUAAUCUUUGAACUCGUUUAUAGUCUCAACUAGUUCAGCUCUAGUUUUGCAUGAAUUAUGUCAACAAAGAGAGAGGACUCCACAUGAGACCUCAUCAUCUUAUUCUUUGAUUCUUGUAUCUGACCCGCACAUGUAUGCACAUUAUUUAAUGUCCGAAUUACAAAACAACCAGUAGCUUCACACCAAGACGCAUAAACAUGCCAACUACAACCCUCCAACUUCUUAUUUCAACAAACAUCAAUCACUUGCCUCUUGUCAUUGCCGGCAUAGAAAAAAUUAAAUCCUACUUCAAGAGCAUACUUGCACAAUUUUAACCGGAAGUCCUCUACACCACCAUCAAACUUCUGCCCUACAUGAUGUAUGUAGUCUCCCAUUCAUUUGACAACAAAGGCUUAGAACUGGCUCUCUUUGAUCUACCCAAAAAUUCAUUUCUGUCUUCAACAGUAUUAGAACACGAUGACUCACCCUUUUCACAUGCUAUCAACUCCUUAUUUCCACAAAAAUCACCAUUAUCCUCACUGCUCCCGCAUAAAUCCUUAACUAAAAUAUCCACACUCUUCGCAUUUGAUAUCGCCAAAUAUGCCAUCAUCAUGUCUAAAUCACUAUUCGUUUCUGGUAAACAACUCGAAUAACCGAGCAGCAAAUACCGUAACGUGAAAAUACCAUAACCAUGGAUGACUUUGCUGAAACUGAAAACAUAAUGGUUUCCAACUUCUAUGUGCACUUGGCUAUGCCACAAACCUCCAUUAGCCUUGAAAAUGCAAACAAAACAACAAACAAAAACAUAAAACAAUUUAAAUCAGUAAAUAACAUAGAUGAGCAAUUUUAACAUUCCCAUAGACUUGCAAAUAUUAGUCUGAAAUCGAAUUAUGAAACAAGACACUGCAAUGCAGUUUCUAGUAAAAAACUGCAACAAAUGGAAAUUGUAGUGAAGUUUAUGACAACAAAUCUGCUCAAGUAUAAAAAGAAACCAAAAGGCAAAGCCAUGAUAAAAGUACUAAAGCUAAGUUCAAAACACAAUUAAGUCCAUAAACAGUUGUAACAUUCUCACAGACUAGCAAAAAUUAUUUUGAAAUCGAAAUAUGGAAUAGGAAAAUACACUGCAGUUUCUGAUAAAAAAAAUGAAAUAAACGGAAACUGCAGUGCAGCUUAUGGGAAAACAUAUGCUCAAAUUUGAAUAAAAAUCAAAAGGAAAAUCCAUGAUAAAAGUACUAAAACUAAGUUCAAAACACAUUGAAGUCCAUAAGCAAUUGUAACAUUCCCAUAUACUUGCAAUGCAGUUUAUAAAACAAGAAACUCAAAAAUUGCAACAAACAGAAACGGCAAUGUAGUUUAUGGUAGAAAAUCAAAAAACUUCGAAUAGAAACCAGAAAGAAAAGCCACGAUCAAAGUACUAAAACUAAAUUCCGAAAACAUAUAAGUCGAUAUAAAUGAAAAAAGGUUCUCAAGUACUCAUACCUCAACACCUAGGACUGCCAAAAAUCUCCCCAACCAAAUAGCUGCUCAAAAUCAAAUCUGAUCACAAAACGAAGAAGAUACAAAAUGGCAUGCACAAAAUCGCGCCACAAAACUGAGCUCGAAAUAGGAGAACUAAGAUCGAACCAGAGCACAGAAAUCACACGCCAAAACAAACCUUGAUUCUGCAUGCAAAAGAAAAAUUACACCCAAAACAUAAAGAUCAAUCUAAAUAGCACAAAACAUAAUCAGAAUAAAACAGAAAAAUGAAGAAAAUCGAACAAAAACCUACCAGCAAAUUGAAGCUCCAAUCGCAGCUAAACGAACUAGAGCUCCAAAACGUCAAACUGAACGAAAACGAAAGAGAAAAGUUCAAAUCACGCGUAAUUUAAAUAGACAGGUGUAAAAAAGUCAUUUACUUUGCAAGUUUCAGAGUUAGGCCAGGCUUUUUAAGAAGAAAGGUAGCAUUGUCUUUUCAGUUAUUAUUUUAAGCUGGCCCAACGAAUCUGGACCUCAUCUUUGGCCUAGUCCAAAAUAACAAUUCUUUCCUAGGUAUUAACCUAAACAAAAAUACCCAAUAUCUCAAAUACUAAUUAGUAAAGUUACUUAUGUCUAAUACCUCAUUUUUCUUAAAAUAAAAUAAGUAGUUUGAUGUGUCUAGUUUUUGCUCACCAUUCGUUAUAUCAACUACAAAUAGCCUUAAUGCUUAACAAUUGAAAAACAUUGACAAUAUAUAUAUAUAUAUAUAUCAAUAAAAUAAUGAAAAAAAGAUUGGGGAUAAUUAUUGGAUAAAGUAAAAGUUGAAUGGGAGUAUUUUUGCUCAUCACUUUAACUCAGUUGUAAUCUUAUCAUCCUUCUCAACACUUGACACGUGUCUAUUAACAUAGCCAUGGUUCCAUAAAUACAAAGUAAAGAGUUAACUAUGGUUAUGCCAAUAGACAUGUGUCAAGCGUUGAGAAGGUUGGUGAAGGUACACUUUAAGUUAAAGUGAUAAGGAAAAAGCAUUUUGAGUCCGAGCAAUACAUGAAUAGUUGUAUUUUAGAGAGUAGAAAUUUGAGUUUAGCCCCCAUCAUGGUCGGAGAUGACCUUACUUGUCUUCUCCGCACAUAUUGUGAUCAUUAAUAAAUGUGUUUCAUGUGUUUCGUGAGUUUCAUGAUGAGCAAGCACCUGCUACCACUUAAAGUUAUAAUAUAAAAUAUCAGGCAAUUUUACUGUAAUGACUUGUAUUUAAGGAGAAGCCAAGUUAUACGUUGUUUAACAUUCUGCCUUAUACAUAUCAAAUUUCAAAACUGAUAAGCAUAAGCAUGGCUCUGCACGGUUUUAUUGGGACUCAAAUAGAGCUCAAGUCACCUGCUGAUAAGUUCUACAAAAUCUUCAAGGGUCAAGCCCACCUCAUCCCAAAUGUUUCUUCUGGCCAUAUCAAAGGUGUUCAGGUGCAUGAAGGAGAUUGGGAAACGCACGGCUCUGUUAAGAUCUGGAAUUAUCAUCUAGGUAAUUAAGUAACUAUAUGGUGAACCCACUUUGGACAAGUUUAAUUAUUUUCUGUUUCGUUGUUAACUAUGUCAUAUGGGUAUGAAAAAAAAAAUCAUAAGAUGAGCUUAUAUAUAUAUAUUUUUGUUGUGAAAUAAAUGUGACAGGGAACGAAGUUGGGACAUUCAAGGAAAAGGUCGAGUACGACGACGAGAACAAGGUGGCAACUUUGAUUGGAUUGGACGGAGAAGUGUUCAAGUAUUACAAGAGCUUUAAGGGCAUCUAUCAGUUCGCUCAAAAGGGUGAUGUUAGCGUUGCCAACCUGACGAUUCACUAUGAGAAACGGAAUGCGAAUGUUGAAGCUCCAGAUAGAUAUGUUGGUCUCAUGGUUACCCUCGUCAGGGAUCUUGAUGCUCACUUUGCCAAGGCAUAAUCGAAUAUCAAAAGCAAAUAUAUAUAUGUAUGUUAAUGCGUGCUUUGUGUGGUUAAUAUUAUAAGUAAUGCUUUGUUUUAUGUGAGUUUUUCUUUGUGGCAUGAAGGGAUUUCAUAUGUGAUAUAUUGUGAUGUAUUAGCUAUGUGGGUUAUCACAUAUAUAAAAUAAAAUGCGUGGUGUGCUAUAUAUAUAUAUAUAUCUCCAGUUCUUGAUCAUCAUUCAUAUAUCAAGUACAAAAUAGACUUAAAAAUCAACAAUAUCCAACUGUUAUUUGUUGCGCGCUUGGAUUCAAAGUACUUAAAAGACAAAAAAAUCUGAAGUAUGUUGCGUGCUUGGAUUCGAAUUUCACAUUGAACACUUAGCCUUGUAGAUGAAAAAGACACAACUAAAGUAGUAGUAAAAAAAGUAGUAGAAGCAGCUGGAAGCUCUUUCCUUCAUCAUUUGCGCUCUCCUUUCCCCUCUUCGUCUCUCUCUUUCUUUAUCUCUCUGCCCCUUCCCUGUGAAAAGAAAAGAAAGCGUAGCUGGAUGCGACGAAUGAAGGAUAGAUUCCACAAAGAAAAAAGUUUUCACGUUCUUCCAUUCCAUAAGCAACACUGAAGAAUUCCCUAAUAAUGUAUGGACGAAACUCUCAUGACAACUAAUUCAAAGCAAACACAACUCAACCCAGCUGACAGUGCAAUAAGCAUCCUCCCUCUCAAAACCCACCACGUAACAUAAUUAAAUUCAUUGUUAAGGUUCAUGAAUUAUAUUAUCGAGUUAAUUAAUGCGUGCUUUGUUUAAUUACAAGUAAUUAAAAAAAAUGCUUUGCUAUGUAUUUGUGUCAAGGGAUGUCAUAUGUGAUAAUGUGAUGUAUUAACUAUGGUCAUCACAUAUAUAAAACAAAAUGAGUUGCGGAGAAGUUUUCCAUGCAGUUUCCAUCUAGGAAAAUUCUCUAGUCCUUUGGUGUAUGGGUACACCAAAGGAUAUGGGCCGUUAGAUUGAGAUUAGUGGGAAAUGGACUAAUCUACACCUUUGGUAUGGAAAAUCUGAAAACCUAGUAUUGGAGGUAAAAAGGUUUAUUAAAUAUUAAAAUAUAUUACAGUGGCAAUUGAUACUCAUCAAUUGGCAAAUCGAUACCUAUCAAAUGCCAAAUCGUUACCCAUCAAUUGCCAUAGUCACUUGACGUUGUAAUCAUAGUGCAAAAGCUCGUAAAUUUGAACUCAAAUGUUGUAAUCUAUAAAAUUAAGGAUAGGCUUUAUAAUGUUAUGGAAUGUCUAUGUGCCAAAUAUUUUAAUAUGAUUCUUUAAGGUUGUAAACCAAUAUUUUUACAAGCAUAUGAAUAAUCUUAACAAUGUUAUGGAACUCUCAAGUCCCAAAAACUACAACAUGAGUCAUUAAUAUUGUAAAUCCUGGUUUUUACAAAAGCUAAGAACAAUUUUACUUUUUUAAGGUCCAACCAAACCUUAAUAUUGUAAUUGACAUUAUUUUCAUUGUAAAUUAGGCUAUUACAAUAUUAUGGAUUAAAGUAAACCUUAUUCUUGUAAUUACGGUGCAAAAGAUCAUAAAUUCGAACCAAAAUAUUGUAAUCUACAAUAUUAAGGAUAGACUUUGCAAUGUGAUAGAACGUUUAGGUAACAUUGUAAUAUGAGUCCUUAAUAUUGUAAAUCCCUGUUAUUACAAGAUUAUGGAUAAAAUUUAAAAUAUUAGGAAACUCUCAUGUGCCAAACAUUUUAAUAUGAUUCCUUGAGGUUGUAAACCAUUGUUUUUACAAGCUUAUGGAUCCUUUACAAUUGUAUGGAACCCUAAGUUCCCAAAAACUGUAACAUAAGUCUUUAAUGUUAUAAACCUCUGUUAUUACAAGAUUUUUGAUAAAAUUUAAAAUAAUGUUAGAGAGAACUCUCAUGUGCCAAACAUUUUAAUAUGAUUCCUUAAGGUUGUAAACCAUUGUUUUUACAAGCUUAGGGAUAACCUCUACAAUUGUAUGGAACUCUAAGGUCCCAAAAACUGUAACAUGAGUUCUUAAUGUUGUAAAUCUCUGUUAUUACAAGAUUAUGGAUAAAAUUUAAAGUGUUAGAGAACUCUCAUGUGCCAAACAUUUUAUUAUGAUUCCUUAAGGUUGUAAACGGUUGUUUUUACAAGCUUAGGGAUAACCUUUACAAUAUUAUGAAACUCUAAGGUCCCAAAAACUGUAACAUGAGUCAUAAUAUUGUAAAUUCUAUUUUUUACAAGAAUAAUGAACAAUUUUACAUGUUUAAGGUCCAACCAAACUUUAAUAUUGUAAUCAACGUUAUAUUCAUUGUAAAUUAUACUAUUACAAUAUUAUGGAUUAAAGUAAACCUUAACAUUGUAAUCACAGUGCAAGAGCUUGUAAAUGCGAACCUAAAUCUUGUAAUCUACAAGAUUGACGAUAGACUUUUCAAUUGUAUGGAAUGUUUCAAACGUUGUAAUAUGAGUCCUUAAUAUUGUAUACCCUUGUUAUUACAAGAUUAUAGAUAAAAUUUACAAUGUUAGGGAAUGCUCAGAGAUAGUUUGGCAAUUGCCAAUCAACUUGUCAUCAUUUGCAAAGUGGAAUGGCAAUUGCAAAGUGGACCUUGAAGAAGGAAAAUUGGUUCUUAUGCUUGUAAUUGUAAAUAUAAGGGUUACAACAUUAAAGAUCACGUUUACAUAUGUUCAUAGACCUCCAUAAUCUUGUAAACCAUAUCCUUAACUUUGUAAUAUAGUUCUUAUUUUGGAAAUUUUAUUUUACAAAUGCUAUUGGAUAUGCAAUAAGAUAUACUAGGUGAAAAUAAUAAUAUGUAAACUCAUACGCCAAUUGACAAAUAGAGAUAUCGUAAUUGCAAUUGUAUUUGCUAUGGAAACUAGACAACUUGUAUAAAAUAAUUAAAAAAUUGGGGAUAAUUAUUGGACAAAGCCAAAGCCGGAUUGCGGAGAAGUCUUCCAAUUUUAGUUUGCAGUUUCCAUCUAAUGCAUUAUUUGUUUGCUUCAUGGUGUGACUGGCACUCAAAUAUAUAAUAGCCACCACAAGUUCUUAGUUCGGUUGAAAUAUCCCAUUUUGCAUGUAAUUCCUAAAAUACACUGACGGUUUAGGUGUCCUUUAGUCUAAUCUUGUGAGUAGUGACCCUAUUCAAGUACAAUAUUGGUGGUGUCUAAAUACGAAGGUUAGAUAUGAAGUGUUAGUUAGAUUGGUUAAGGUUUUUGGUGCGCUCUCAUGUGGUCUUAGGUCUAAAUCCUCAUGGUAGCCGUGUAUGUGAGUUUACCCCUUUCCUUUCUAACUUUGAUCAAAAAAAUAUAUAUACAAUGUUAAAUUCUACGUUCCCAAAUGGAUUAGCUCCAUUAAUCAAGUUCACUGAUAUACUCUAACUAAAUUAAGAAAUUAAAUUUGGUAGGGUUUUGUGUGGGGUCCAAAAUUUAAAUUUGAUAGGUAUAGAUAGUACAGGUAUACCUACCAUGUUCAAGAUCCCGCCACGUUUAAUUGCCACACGCCACGUUUAAUUGUCACAUGUCAUAUAGAUCAAAUCAUGUAAAUAUACGAUUUCCUAUACGUUGCUGUAGGCAUACAUCGAAAUUUACAGCUUGACCUGGGCUUCCGUGGCUCUAUAUAAGGAGUGGAAGCUUAAUAGCUAUAUCGGUCAUCUACAAAAUUCUAAAAAGUAAACCUAAUUGUUUUGUCAGAGAAAAUGGCUUUGAGUGGAGCUAGUAAUUACAAGGCGGAGACUGUGGAGGCUGAGGUAGAGAUCAAAUCCAAUUCUGGCAAAUUGUUCAAGCUCAUCAGCAACCAGCACCACGACGUUCCGAAGGCCUCCUCUGAUAAUGUACAUGAUGUUGCGGUACAUGAAGGUGACUGGGAAACUUCUGGUUCUGUCAAGCUUUGGAAAUACACCUUAGGUACGUAUAUAUGUACUACUGGAAUAUGUAUAUAUGUCGUUUGAUUCUAAAUUACUAAAAUAUUUCAAUGCUAAUAAACUAUAUAUAUGUACGUGCAGAUGGAAAUGUUGAAACUUUAAAGGAAAAGGUAGAAAUAGAUGAAGCGAACAAGUUGGUGAGUCUUACUGCUUUGGAAGGAUCACAUGUGUUGGAGAAGUACAAAAGCUGUAAGAUCAUCUUCCAGGUCACUCCAAAGAGUGAAGGAGGUUUGGUGAAAAUUACCCUAGGAUAUCAAAGACUUAAUGAGAACGAUCCGCCUCCACAUAAGUACCUCCGGUUUUUGGUCAAUGUCAUUCAAGAUAUUGAUGCACAUCUUCUUAAGGAAUAAUUGCACCAACAAGAUUUAUGCGUGCAACUUUGAAGGAUAAUUACAUAUAUAUGUAAUAAAAUAAGGGCAAGCUAUCCUUGUUGUUAGUACCGUUUCGGACUUGCAAUUUCUAUCUUGGAAUUUAUAGGCAAGAAUGAAUUGAAUUGUGUGCAAUAUAUAAGUAUAUUGAUUGUGUGUGAACAAGUUUUCCUGGGUGUAUUAACUCAUCCAAAAGAAUAAAUUAUGAUCAGUAUAUUGUGCUACUCCUAGAAUGGUGUCCUUUUUUUAUUUUUUUUUAUUUUUAUUGUUGUUCUUGUUUUGCAUUAACAUAAAUACCUUAUUUCUACUUAACCAUACAAUUUAUCACUCAAAUUUGCUACUAAGGCAAAGCUGAAUUAUUGAUAUAUCUUCCAACAUGGCCCGCUUGGUUUGCAGUACUUUUCAUCUAGUGCAUUUAUUUGCUCCACCCAUGCUGCGGGCAUCGAGAAAGACCACAACUUUUGAGAAUUGUUCGACAUAUUUUGCACACCGCCAUGCCAAGUUUUGCAUGAAAAUCUCAUGGCAGAUGCGAAUGGUUUAGCUUGGAACCAUCGUCUCUGAGAUAUUUGGGAAUAGUGUGAAGGAAACUAUGGAAAGGCGGUUUCUCGAGGUGAUUCAAUUUGAGUAGAUAUCGUUUCGGGUUAAGUUUUUGAUGUUGUGAUGUCGUUUUGCUGAUCCAUAUACAACUGUAAGUUUUGGUUUAAAAGAAAUUUGAAAAUAAUGGCAUAAUGACAUAUUUUGUAAUUUUAAUGUUCUUUAAUUAUAUUAUGGUAAAAAUAGGUGCUAUAUUUUGGCUUUUGGUUUUAUCCUAAUUAGCUGAAAUUGAAUUCCUAUUAACCUAAAUAGUAAACUAUAUUUUUUUGUGAAAUUGAAUUCCUAUUAACCUAAAUAGUAGACUAUAACAUCAAUCAAUCUUUUCUUUUGUUGAAACAUCAAUUGUAUUUUGGCAAACCGAAGUAACGGAAGUUCCUAUCACAUUAAAUAUUUUUAGUUUUUGUCUGUGGGUAAAUAGUUAAUUGAACAUUUUCGUCCAAACCAGUUGGGUUGUAACUUGUUAUAAUUGUUAAGUAUUAAGGCUAUUUGUAGUAGAUAUAACGAAUGAUGAGCAAAAACUGGACACAGCACACCACUCAUUUUAUUUUAUGAAUGUGAUAGCCAUAGUUAAUACAUGCCAAUAUCACAUAUGACAUCCCUUGACACAAAUACAUAGCAAAGCAUUUUUUAAUUACCUGUAAUUAAACAAAGCACGCAUUAAUUAACACGAUAAUCUAAUGCAUUAUUUAUUUGCUUCAUGGUGUGACUGGCACUCAAAUAGCCACCACAAGUUUUGCAUUACCAUAAAUACCUUAUUUCUACUUAACCAUACAAUUUCUCACUCAAAUUUGCUACGAAGGCAAAGCUGAAUUAUUGAUGUAUCUUCCAAUAUGGCCCGCUUGGUUUGCUGUACUUUUCAUCUAGUGCAUUUAUUUGCUCCACCCAUGCUGCUGGCAUCGAGAAAGACCACAACUUUUGAGAAUUGUUUUGACAUAUUUUGCACACCGCCAUGUCAAGUUUUGCAUGAAAAUCCCAUGGCAGCCGCGGAUCAUUACCCCUUGGGGAUUUGGCUGGUUGGAUAGGAAUGCCCCACCAGGUGUUUCUUGAAAUUGACUGAACAAAGGAUGGGCAGUAGACUCGAUCAUGACCCAAUUCAAGUUCAUUAGUGGAGUACUCACUCAAUGUUUGGUUCAUGGAAAUGAAUUGAUGAGAAAUCAAUUUCUAUGUAGUUUUUCAUAGAAAAGGAAAUCGAACAUUCAUUUUCUAUGUUUGAUAAUGCUGGAAAAAUAACUAGAAAAUAUCAUUUUAUUUCCUUCUCUAUGUGUGGUUAGUGUAUGGAUUGAAAAUGCAUUUUGUUUAGUUUUUCAAUUAUAUCCCUAAAUAAAAAAUCAUAAAUAUAUAUAUAUAUUAAAAAGUGUAAUUAAUAUUUGCCAUGGUAUUUUUAAUUGUUAAUAGUGGUAAAUUGGUCAUAAAAAGUUGUAAUUAAUGCUUGUCUUGGUUUCCCACGAGGAGGGAAAAUUAAAUCCAAUAUAAAUGGAAGGUUUUAUUUUCCUCCCUAUUUUUCCAAGCUUGGACUUACCAAACAUAGGAAAGCAAAUAAUUUCUCAUUCCCAAGCUCCUUUUCCCAGAACCAAAUGCAGUAAAUACGAAGGUUUCUACUUUCUUAAAGUUCAUUAGCUCGAACCUACCAGAAAAACCUAAUUGAGAAAACACUAGCCUCCCUUCUCUCUCAAACCUCUUUUGUUGUGUUCCAGGGAAUAGGGAGCAGGAAGCCACUCAUCCUCCUCUCUCUCCCUGAUGGGGAUCGGGAUCCGGACACAGGUCACCAACCACAUACACGAGCACCGAAAUCUAGGGCUAGUGCAAACUCACAUAUAUCGUAGCAAAUUCAUGCCACAAAUAAACUAUUUUAUUAAUCAUCAACAUAUCUCCCCUACAACUAUUACAUUAGCCUUAUUUAUAGGCUUUACAAGACUUGGGCACCAAGGCUACUUGGUCCAAAAGUAAACUAAUUAAUUAUAAAAUCACACAUACAUAAUAAAAGAUAUCCUAAACUACCUAAAUAAGAAAAUAACAAUAUAUCAUGAAAUAACUAAUUAAAUAUAAAAUAUCUAUCUUGAUCCACCACUAUGCUCCUGCAUCAGACUCCCAUGGUUGGAAAGAAUUCGUCCUCGAAUUCAAGCCUUUGAUUGAGGAAAAUCCGAGUAGAAUCUUCAAUUGUUUCAUAUUAAUUCUGGAUCUUUUAGCAUCCAAUUGAAAUCUUCCUUUCCAAAUAAAAAGAUAUUUGGAAUAUUUCGUUAUUCUUGGCUUCUUCUUACUCCCUCUAAGAAUGCAAAAGUUUCUCUCUAGAAUCUUCAACCGAUUGACAAAAUCAACUAGAUUUUUGGCAACCUUCCAAGUGAAAAUAUUAAUGCCCAUAAAAUCAAUAAUAUCUUCAAAAGUUUUCUCAAUUCUCAUCUCUUCACUGUGCUGGUCAAUAAAUUGCUUAUCAAAAUUGCUUUGAACACCCAAACAAUUUUCAUUGCAAUUUUCACAGUUGCAAGGAUCAAAUAUUGGAGGUAAAUCUAAAUUUAAUAACUUUGAUGAAUAACAAGAUGCACCAAAAUUAUCAAAUUCAUUUAUACCUUCAAAGACACAAUGAGAAUAACCGUGCCCCUCUUCACUUGACUCACACAGCGGAGCGCAAUAAUGAAAAGGGCUAUCUCCCUCGUACUCCCCGUCGAGACUCUCACGGCUUAGAGUGUCGAUGCGAGCUACUCGGUUCAGAUAAGGGUUCACACAUCCCUCCCCGUCAGAACUCUUACCUAUCUGGGUUCGAGCUUCAAUGCGAGCAAUGCGUUCUGUAAGUUGCCGUAGCAUCCUCCUAAUUUCCUCCAUGUCGUUGUAGUUGUUAAAACGACCCUCCAUCCAAAAACCUCCCCGAUAUAGCAAAUCUUGAGCCAUAGCUCUGAUACCAAUUGAUGGGGAUCGGGAUCCGGACACAGGUCACCAACCACAUACACGAGCACCGAAAUCUAGGGCUAGUGCAAACUCACAUAUAUCGUAGCAAAUCCAUGCCACAAAUAAACUAUUUUAUUAAUCAUCAACAUAUCUCCCCUACAACUAUUACAUUAGCCUUAUUUAUAGGCUUUACAAGACUUGGGCACCAAGGCUACUUGGUCCAAAAGUAAACUAAUUAAUUAUAAAAUCACACAUACAUAAUAAAAGAUAUCCUAAACUACCUAAAUAAGAAAAUAACAAUAUAUCAUGAAAUAACUAAUUAAAUGUAAAAUAUCUAUCUUGAUCCACCACUAUGCUCCUGCAUCACUCCCUCUCUCUUUUCCUUAUCUCCCCACUUAUUUUCCCCUUCCGCAUCUACGGGAUUUGUGGUUUUAAUUGUGAGGAGGUUACUUGUGUCUAGAUCUUCUUAGAUUUGUGGUUUUGUUGGUUGGUGUUUUAGAUGUAAGGUGACUGUCUGCAAUCUCAGUGAUGUUCUCUAUCUCCAAGGUGGUUACGGCGUCUGUGGUGGCGGUGGCUGAUAAGUCCAUAAAUUUACACAUUGUUGAGGCCCAAAAAUCCAAGGGGCUAAGCCCAAGUUGACUAUUGGCCCAAUAGGGACAAGUAAACGCAAGAGAAUUUAGGGAACGAAUUAAUACGAGCUACGGGCCACAUGCCACGCCAAACAAGCACGUGCGGGAAGACCAAAAACAUGCUAAAAACAUGCUCAUUCCUAUUGAACUCGGCUAUAGCCUAUGAUGAUAGGAUAAAAAUCCAAGCACAAGCAUAGGUGUCGGAACCGCCAUGCCAACACCAAGAUGUGUUACAAGCUUAGGUGGGCCCAAGCCACCAAAAUUACCCGGGGCUUGCUUGAACGGGUUGUGGUAUGGAUGGCAACGGGCUUUCAUAGGACCCAUUGACGAGCCAAGGAAAUGGUAGUUUCGGGUCACUUGGGAGGCCCAAAACUCAAGCCUAUUUCUUUGGCCCGAAAUACAUGGGUUAGCAUAAGAGAAGAGAGAGCAUGACCCAAUACCUUAGAAAAAAGGUGCAAAGCCUGUUAGAGAAGGCUAGGACAAUUAGAAGGCCUAAAUGUGCUGUUAAAGUGCAAUAGGCAAGCUGCUUCCGGCAGCUUGACGAAAGCCCAGCAGACUGACCCAGAAUGACAUAUCACCAAUUCAAAGCCUAGGAAAGAAAAGCCCAGCCCAAACUCCCUGUAAAAUAUCUGGCCAAGCACGUUUUGUCCCUAUCCAGGAAAGUCAACAGCAAACAUCUCAAAAACCAGAGGAAAUCCACACAAGCAAGAGGUUUACCCGUUGGGUAAAACGUAGCUCCUUUCCCUCCCAUUGUUCUGGCAGCUUGCAUAGGAAAGAUCGAGAGAAAAGCAAGCGGCUCUUCACCUCUAUGAUGAAGGGCCAGCAAAACCGAGACCUUGGAACCACAAAUGGGUUCCUUACCCAUGUGUCUUGGGCGGACGGAAUUCAUCAAAGAAGACGAAGUGGGGGAAAACAAUGGAAAGAGGGAGGGAAGUAUGACGAAAUUAGAACCCUUAGCGGCUAUAAAAAGGAGGACUUCUGCUACCCAGGAAACCAACCCAUUUUUCAGAGCUCGACCAAGCAUUGUCAAGCAGCUGGAAAAUCUACUCAAGCCACCCCAUCUCCUCCUCCAUUCGUUUCCUUCCUCCAUUAGGAAGGAAGUCAGCCAAAUCUUCCUUUGCUUGCUCUAAACCUCCAUCCUCCAUAGGAAAAUUCAUCUCUCUCUCUCAAAAUUGCUAAACCUGUGAAAGCCUAGCUCCCAUGCCACAUGCUCUCCAAGCCAAGCUCUUCUGUAAAAUUGGUCAAGUUUGUUUAGGCUAUUAGUGAAGGAAGCCUGAGAGCGUUUUCGUAACAGUUUCAUCAGACUCUGCGAAAAACACUCUUCCAGGCGCUUGGUGUCGAACCCAGGCAUUUGGGGAAUUUUUGCUCACUUCUCUUCUCACGGCAGCCCAAGCCCAUUCGUCAGGCUGCUGGAACAAAAAAGCCCCAACAUAAAUUGGCGACUCUGCUGGGGACCAAGCUGCCAUUUUUUCGCUAAUGCCUCCAAAAAAGAAGACUAGGAGCAAUACCAUGGCCUCUCAAGACGGAUCUGACCACGGUGAUUCCGAAUCACGACAAAAUACCUCCUCUAGGCAGCAAGAACGUGCAAGUGAGGGAGCUUUUACCCUCACAAACCUUAUUACAGCUAUGCAGGCUAUGGGGGAAACCCAAAGAGAAAUGAUGGACACCAUCAAAGAGCUAAAGAAUGCUGUUCCUAAGCCAAACGAAGAAAAUACCCGACAUCCACAGGAGGAAUCUGCUGCUGCCGGAAAAGAGUCUGAACAAAGGGGACCAUCUUUUGUUACCCAGGAGGAUGUCGUUGCCAUGCUGGAAAGGGAACUCAGUCGAAGCCAAGAAGACUGGAAAUACGUUCCUCAACCACCUUACCCGUCAAGCUUACUCCAGCAGCCUUACCCCAAAGGCUACGAAACACCAAACUUCGUCCUUUUUGAUGGAAGGAAAGGGAGCCCAAAGGAGCAUGUUAGUCGUUUCAUCGAUGCCUUAGGACCACAUGCUGGUGAUUAUAAUCUCCGACUGCGAGAGUUUUCAAAAAGUCUUACUGAUCGGGCCUAUACCUGGUAUACGACAUUGGCGCCAGGCUCAAUUCGUUCUUGGGACGAUCUGGCAGGCAGGUUCUGUAAAAAAUACUUCCAGCACGAGGAAAGAGUCAUCACCACCCAGCUCAACAAUACCCGCCAGAAGCAUGGUGAAGAUCCUGUGGACUUUGUACGAAGGUUUCGAGAUCUGGCCCUAGAUUGCUAUGAUGAAAAGGACGAAGAGGCACUUGUCGAAAUCUGCAUCAGCAACAUUGUAGCAGAUUAUAGAGUGUACUUAGAAAACAUUGGCAUCAGUCAAUUUUCUAGGUUGUUGGAAGCAGUAAGAAAAACAAGCAUGUCUGUCAAACCGACGGGACAAAGGACUUGGAGGAACGAGAAGAGGGAGGCGCACCAAACGUUAGCUGUAAAUGACAAGCCAUCCAACGACUACGGCACACGCAAAAGAAAGGACCGAGAGACGUACCCGCCACUGCCAUGCAAAGAUGAGGAGUUUCAUGCCAUCUUGGACACGAUGAUCGCUGAUGGCGCAAUUAAACCUCUCAGGCCCUACAAAGUCCCCACCCGAGAAGAAAAGAAUGAUCCUAGGUACUGUCGCUACCAUCAAUUCGUGGGACAUCCAACUACUGCCUGUCAGAGUCUAAGAAGGAUUUUACAUGCUAAAAUACAUGAAGGAGUUCUUGAGCUUCCUUCUAGGAAGCAAACAAUUGAUGAGGACCCCUUGCCGAAACGAAGGGGCAAAGAGGUAGCUGCUGUCAUUACAUAUUCCGAGGAUUUACUGGAUGACGAUGAAUUGUGCCACCCAUGGAGGAAUGACCCGAAGCCGCCAGAAGCUAUGUGGGAACCUUGCGGGAACAUGGAGAAGGCGUACUGGUGCAAAUAUUCGAAGCCUUCAAGUUAUAACACGCCAUGGCCGCUCGCUGAUGGAUGGGAUGACGACUCAAGUAAUCAGAUGUUUGUUCAAGACGUGCCGGAAGAUCGCUACUCGGGGGCUUCAUUGGGACAGCAGGAAAUAGCUGCCGUAACAUUUCACAAUGUUACGGAGGCUGAAGCAAGCGUGUUGGGACGUUACCUAAGUCUGAAACAGGGGCCCACAGCUUCACAGGCCCUCCAAAGAAACCCAAAGUUCAAGUCACUCUUUGACCAACUUGGCUUUGGGCCUCAAGCAAGAGAAGCAGCUGCUGUAACUCUCAUGAACAUCUCUGCGGCAUCUGACCCUCAUUGCUUCACUGUUCAACCACAAAGUUCGUUUUUGGGAAAUGACAAUGCUAUCAUCUUCACAGACGAGGAUAUGGAAGUUCCUUACCCAGACCACAGGAGGCCGCUUUAUUUGGAGGGGCAGAUCAACGAUGUGUUUAUAAGGAGAGCCUUGGUAGACACAGGUUCCUCUGUCAAUAUUUUACCCCUAUCUGUGCUUACAGCAGCUGGCAUUCCGCUAUCUAAGAUCGUGCAAUCUCAAACAAGCAUCAGCGGUUUCGGGAACAAAAGUGAGGUCACGGUCGGGUAUAUGCAAGUAAAUCUGAAGGUGGGACCGAUUCGAGCACUUACUAAAUUUUAUGUUGUGGACGUGGAUGUGGCUUACCAUGCUCUGCUUGGAAGACCAUGGCUCAAUAAACAUAAGCUUGUGGUCUCUACUUACCAUCAAUGUGUGAAAGGAAGAAUUGGGCUGAGACCAGUACGCAUACCCGGAAAUCAAGCACCAUUCAAUGAAGAUGAAGCCCACUACUCCGAGGCAGAAUUCUACACCGAAUGCACAGGUGCUGAAAGCAACCCAUCCAAAGAUUUUGGAACCUACCUUCCUUCUUGGACAGAAAUUCGUGAUUUAAGUAAUGAAGAACUCAUCACCGUCAUCAACCGAGGAAGAAAGAGACACUCGGAAGCUAACAAUCAUGCCUAUGAUCAUCCCCGGUGCUCAAAAGUAACGCUCCCCGAUGGGCGCACCGUGUAUCGCUUAUGACGGGAUUGGGGGCUUAACCGUGUCUUAUGGGAAAGCCCCGAGUAUGGAGGAGAAGCAAUGCAAACCAAUGACCGCAAAGAUUCAGAUGACAAGGCACCUUCACCUUGUGCCUUCCAGGAGCCAAUGGUUGCUCCCAAGCACAUGCAAGAUGGCUCAGUGGCAGUAACUGAGCAAUUGGAGACAAUUGACUUAAGUGAUGAUCCCGCCGUCCAAAGACCCAUUUCCAUCGGCAUCCAUUUAACAGAGGAGGAGAAGGAAGUUUUGGUGCCUUUGUUAAAAGAGUUUCGAGAUGUGUUCGCUUGGAGCUACGAAGAAAUGCCCGGCCUUGACCCAAAUUUGGUGAGUCACACGUUGAAUAUUGAGCUGGGUACCAAACCUGUCGUACAGCCCAGAAGGAAUUUUCAUCCUGAAGUUGAAAAGCAAAUCAAGGUGGAAAUCGAAAAACUGUUAGCUGCUGGAUUCAUCAAGCCCAUCAAGCACCCUACGUGGCUAGCAAAUAUCGUUCCCGUGAAAAAGAAGACCGGGGUCAUUAGAAUAUGUACAAACUACCGAGACCUCAAUCGAGCUUGCCCAAAAGAUGAGUUUCCGCUGCCCAACAUGGAUAUAUUGAUCGAUUCAACCUCGGGUCAAGGCAUGCUGUCCUUUAUGGAUGGAUUCAGUGGGUACAAUCAGAUCAAAAUGUCGCCCAAGGAUGCUGAAAAGACAGCCUUUCGAACGUCGUAUGGGAAUUUUUAUUACACGGUCAUGCCAUUUGGUCUCAAAAAUGCGAGUGCCACCUACCAAAGAGCCAUGACGGCAGUGUUUCAUGAUAUGAUGGGAAAAGAGGUGGAGGACUAUGUGGAUGACCUUGUGGUGAAAUCUAAAACCAGACUGGGGCAUCAUGAGGUUUUAAGGAGGGUGCUGGAAAGGUGCCGGCUAUACGGGCUGAAAAUGAAUCCGAAGAAGUGUGCGUUCGGAGUAUCAUCUGGUGAAUUCUUGGGGUUUCAGGUGCACCAACGCGGCAUAGAUGUGGAUCCCGAAAAGACUAGGGCCCUAAAAUCCUUGUCGCCACCAAAAAACCCGAAGGAAUUGAAAAGUUUCAUGGGGAGGCUGUCGUACAUUCGACGCUUUAUUCCAGGGCUUGCUGCUAUGAUGAGCAUCUUCACCCCUUUACUCAAAAAGGGCCAAUCGUUCAUAUGGAGCAAAGAAUGCCAGGAGGCUUACCAGAAAGUGCAGCAACUGAUAGCCAGGCUACCCACAAUGAGGGCACCUAUCCCGGGACUUCCACUCAAGCUCUACUUAGCUGCGACAAAUACCGCGGUUGGAGCUUUGCUUGCCCAGGAUAGUCAUGAAGGGGAAGAAAGCCCCAUUUACUAUGUAAGCAGACAAUUGAAGGGAGCUGAGACAAGGUACCCAAAGACAGAACUAUUAUGCCUUGCUCUUGUUUAUGCUGCGCAGCGAUUGCGACAUUACUUUCUUGCUCACAAGCUGCGGCUUGUAGUAAAAUCCGACCCUGUGAGAUACUUGCUCACAAGACCAGUGCUAUCAGGACGUCUUGCACGCUGGUUGCUGCAAUUGUCUGAGUUCGAUAUUGUGUGUACGCCCCCGAAGUCUAUUAGGGGACAGGCUGUGAUUGAUAUGUUAGCCCUAUUCCCCGAAGUAGAGGAGUCUACUCUGUCCAAAGAAGUAUUAGGAGAACUGUCGGAAGUAGUUGCCACUGUUGUAGAAGAAGCGUCAUGGACCCUCUACUUUGAUGGAUCCUCUACAACCAACGGUGGAGGAGCAGGGAUAGUGAUCAUCAAUCCUGAAGGGCAGGCCACAGCUCUCUCGUUCAAGCUAGAUUUCCCAUGCACAAAUAACGUCGCGGAGUAUGAAGCCUUUAUCAUGGGAUUGUCUACGGCAAGGGAAAUGGGUGCAGAAAGAGUAAAGGUCAUUGGAGAUUCAAAUCUGGUAUUGAGCCAAAUGCAAGGGAGCUUUGCUGUGAAAGAAGCAACUUUAGCACCCUAUCGUACAGCUGCUGAAAGGCUCAUUAAUUCCUUUAAGCAUGUUGUGAUGGAGCACAUCCCGGGAGUUACUAAUAGGUAUGCAGAUGCUUUGGCUACAUUAGGAUCAAAAUUAUCAUACGUACAGGAGCAGCCUAAUAUUACUGUGGUAAGGAGAGAGACGUCAGUAGUAGAGGCAAUGGUCCAGGAGGAGCUGCUGGAAGAAGAUGACUGGAGAAAGCCGUUAAGAAAAGAAUUCAGUGGAGAAAGCAGCAUUAAGGACUUGAAAGACUAUGUGCUCAUCUUUGGGGAACUCUAUAAACGCCUUCCAGGCGGUGUUUUGACUAGGUGCGUGGGAAUGGUAGAAGCGAGGAGAAGGUUGCAAGAGGUACACGAUGCCACCUGCAGUUUGGAACCAGUGACCAGUUUGUAUCGGCGCCUGCAGCGUAAGGGUUAUUAUUGGCCAGAAAUGAGGAAACAAGCAGCCGAUGUUCAGGCUAAUUGUCCCAAAUGUUCUACGGUACCCACUACCGAGGAGGCUUUCACUGUGUCACUGGUGGAAGAUUGGAGGGCCCCAUAUCUAGCAUUUUUCGUUGAAGGAGCUCUGCCAACCAAUUCCAAGCUCGCUUAUAAGCUCAAGAAGACGGUAAAAAGAUAUUUCAUGGAUGGAGCGACUCUUUACAGGAAGGGAUUUAAUGGUGAACCACUAUGAUGCUUGGAAAGGUCAGAGGCUUAUCAAGUCAUGCAAGAGAUACAUGCUGGAGAAUGUGGAGAACAUCAAGGGAUGAAGAGGCUUUAUCGGCAGCUGCUGAGUUUCGGAUACUAUUGGCCUACUAUGAAGAAAGAUGCACGUGACUUUGUUAAGAAAUGCCACACAUGCCAAGCCAAAGCCAUUUGUAUGGGAUCCUAAGUCACUAGCAGACCUCAUGCUUCAUCAACAAAAAAAUAUACGCCAAGCUAAUUAGCAUAAAUAAGCAUUGAAGCUUCGAGCAUGGAUCCUGCCAAAAUUAUGGCGGUAUCUACCUUAUAUUAAGACCCAACAUGCGGGAAAUCUCAAGCGAAAAGUUUCAACCAAGCACUGCAUAUAAUACCAAAUAGAAAAGUUACAAUGUGUUUGACAAAAAAAGGGAGGACAUGGUUUCCAGCAGUCAGCACAUAACAACACUGCAGUGCCAAGCUGUCACAAUGCAAAUUUUACAAGCCUAAAUUCGAGCAAGUUAUACAAGCUGUCACAAUGGUCGUUUUGAGGGGUUUAGCUUGGAGAGUGGUGUGCACUCUCUAUGUUAAGGGAGAAAAAUAUUUUUAUAAAAUUAGAUUUUCUAACUUCAUUUAUGUUAUUUACUUUUCAAAUCUAGGAACGGGAGAGAACCAGACAACCUUCUAAGGGUAAUUUCAUCAUUUUAGCUUCUUGGAUACGAGGUAGGGUUUCCUGAUUUCCCGAUGAUUGUGCUAUGUCACUCUUAAUCUUGGUGCUUAUAUAUAGUACUAUAAAUAUGAAUAUUAUUGUUGCUUUGCUCGGCGAAUAUUUUUUGAUGUUAUGUGAAUAUUAUUAUUGAUGUUUCUUUGUGGAUUUUCUUUGAUGUUGGGUGAAUAUUGUUAUUCAUGUGAUGAAACUUGAAAUAUUAUUAUUAUUAUUAUAUGUAUUAUUAUUCAGUAUAGAUAAAUGAUGUUGCUCUCCAUUACAUAUGCAUCAUAAAUACAGUGGUGUUAAGGGUGUGUGUGUCGUUUGACGUAUAUCUAAGGGGUGGGAGAAGACCUUAGAUAUAUAUGAGUAAAAAUGCAGAAUACAUUGAAGUAACGGAAGUAGGGCUUGAAUAUAUUGAGGUGAUGGGAGCAGGGCCUAUAAUGAAAAGUGAAAGUUGAGAAAUUCGUAAACAAAAGAAAACUGGGUUAAUGGACGGAUAGGCCCUAGUUUAUAUUUUAGGGUAUUCGGAGCCACAAUGGUAAAACGCAUGGUAUGAGACAUGCAAGUUUAUUGCCCUAAGGUAUGAAUUAGUGGGAUUAUAAGGGAGUGAGUUCAUGGCAUCACCGCAUAUGCAAAUUUAUUUAUAUGGUAUGGUUGCAUAAUUUCUGUAUCUUGUGUUGUUUGAUGCAUGACACUUUGAUUAACUGUGAUAAUUGACUUUGAGGGGUUUGGUGGUACUCUACUGGGUAUUAGAAUGCUCAUACGCUAAUAGAUUGUGCAAGAUUCAAGGUGAAGUUUGACAGAGCAGGUUUCAACCAAGCUACUAGGCUUUUGUUGUUGAUUUGUGUAAUUAACAUUUGUAAGUAGUCAACGGUUUGAUAAAGAUCUUAGUGUGUAAUUAACUAUGAGCUACUGAGACUCUGAUUCUGUGUUGUUAAGUAAAUUUGUAUUUAUUUGUGGCUCUUUUUCUCAUCAUAUCAUGGUUAUAAGAUUUUAUUCUUAUGACUAUCGUAUGACUCACACCCUAAUUCAAGAAUAUUCCUUAUUUUCAAAUCAGGUCGUGACACUCAGACUCUCACUUGUAUUUAAGGGGAGCCCAAAUUAUGUUCAUUAACAUUCUGCCUUGUACACACAUCGAUCACUACUUAUACUUAAUUCUGCGUAUCAUCACAACAACAACUGAUAGCAUGGCGCCUCUGAAAGGUAAGGUUGAGACUGAAAUAGAAAUUAAGGCACCAGCUGAGAAGUUCUACAACAUCUUCAACAGCCGGGCACACCACGUCCCGAACAUUUCUCCUGGCAGCAUUCAAGGAGUUUAGGUGCAUGAAGGAGACUGGAAAACACAUGGCUCUAUUAAGAGUAGGAAUUACUCAAUAGGUAAGGUCAUCUAUAUACCUGUUACAUGUGGCCGGUGUACAUCUUUAAUUCCCUACCUAACAAAAUACAAUUAUGUCUUGUGAAAUAGGGGACGAAGUCGGGGUAUUCAAGGAAAAGGUGGAGUACAACGAUGAGAACAAGUCCAUAACUCUGAAUGGGGUGGAAGGAGAUGUCUUCAAGUAUUUCAAAAGCUUUAAGCCUGUCUAUCAAUUCACUCAAAAGGAUGAAGGCAGCAUUGCGACCUUGUCGAUUGCAUAUGAGAAAAUAUGCCAUUAUUUUCAAAUAAUAUAAUUAAAGAACAUCAAAAUUACAAAAUAUGCCAUUAUUUUCAAAUUUCAAUAUUUAACUUUAAACCAAAACUUACAGCUGUAUAUGGAUAAGUAUAACGACAUCACAACACCAAAAACUUAACCUGAAACAACAUUUACUCAAAUUGAAAGCUAAGCCAUUCGCCUUCACCUCGAGAAACCGCCUUUCCACAAUUUCCUUCACACUAUUCCCAAAAAUCUCAGAGACGAUCGUUCCAAUCUAAACCAUUAGCAUCAACGAUGACCACCAAUGGUGACAACCACCAACGAUCGAAGCCAAUUCUCACUCUCUUGAAAAAAAAAUAACCAUAAGAAAAUCAACACUCUAACACAAAUUUGCCUUUGUUUUUUAGGGAUUAAGGAUUUUAGAGAUUCUAGAUAUUGUUCAUUAUGCAUGCUCCCUUUGGAAAAAUGGAUGACUUUUUGGAUUCACAACUACUCUUGGUUUAGGUUUUGCCUUCGUUUAUAGGGAUUAAUGAUUCUAGAGAUUUUACCUACUGUUCAUUCUUCACUCUGCAAUGUAGUUUAGGUUUUGGGUUUAGUUUUGGUUUCAAAAGCUCUAAAAACCAAAAAAUCAUUAGAGAAAGAGAAAGAGCAUCAAAUAUAUCUAUUUUCUGCAUUGCAGAAAACGGAAACUGCACUUAGUUUGUAGUUCUUAUUUUGACUUUACUGAUCUUUCCAUUUCAUGUCAAGUUGAUGUAUAUUUUCUGUUCUAUUAUGUGUUUUGGAUUGCUCCUAUUAUAUUUCUAUUAUGUUUGAUGUUUUGCGUUUUGGAUUGCUCCUUUUAAAAUAGGAAGAGCUUCAAAUAUUUUUAUUUUCUGCAUUGCAAAAAAUGGAAUCUGCAUUGUAGUUUCCGUUAAUGCAAUGCAAUGAACCAGAAACUGCAUUGCAGUUUCUGUUUUCUAUUUUCUGCUUACCUAUUUAUACUUCUUCCUUGUAGUUUAUCUCUACUUGUCCUAAUUGUGUUUUCAUCCCUUCUUGUUUCAGAUCACAAAUGGCACAAGAAAUGUCACCACAAAAGAAUGAAGCUCAAAACCAACGAAAGCCAAGAAUCAAAACAAUGGCUCAAAAGAGAAAAACAAAGCCAAACUAUGAUAGGAAAGCAAAGCACUCAGACUAUGUCUAGUUUCGGUGCAACGUCAAUGCUUUCAAUAGAAUCAUUACAUAUGUUAUAGACAAACUCAAUGACAGGUAGAAGAAACUGCUCAAGACAACGCCUUUCUGGAACUUGAUUGAGCUAUUUUAAAACCAAAGAAUUGACAUGAAGAACAUGAAUAAGUCGGACCUCAACUUAGUAGCGCUGCUCAUGAAGUUUGAUCCAGAUACAAAGUCCUUCAAAUUUGGCACCAAAUCGUUCAAGAUCACAGCCAAUGCAGUGAUUGAGAUUCUAGGACUGCUAAAUGAAGGAAAAUCUGUCAAACUUGGCACUAAUAGAUACAAUGAUACCUUCAGAACAAGGCAAUUCGGAGAAAAGUCAAAACCAUCAAAUGGCAUGGUAGAAGAAGAAUUAAAAAAGACAAUUACCUUGGCAAACCAACCAAAAAAAGAAAAGGCCAAGGCAAAGCAAAAGAAGAAACGAAUAGAGGAAAAGCAAAGAAAAAAAUUGAAGAAGAAGGGGAAGACGAAGAGGACAAUGAGGUUGUUGACUACGACAAGGAUGUGGUCAGCCUAAUCUUAAUUCUACUCUGCAUGACAUUCUUCUUUGCCAACUCUUCAUUCACUUUACACUGGAAAAUUGUUGAGCACUGUAUGAAUCUAGACACGCUUUCAAAAUAGGAUCCGCUCCGGAAUUCCUCGGUAACAAGACAGAUUCGCAUAUUGUGCGUUAUCCGGGUUUGAUAGGUUUGAAUCGUUGGAUCGUCUCCAAAUUUUUAUAUGUUGAUCUAGGCACUCCUAGAAUCGUGUAGAAAUUCACGGAUCAUGAAUCGGAGCCCCGGAUGUUCCGAUUCAAUAAUUCGAAGUUUGUGGUUUGCGAUAACCGUCCAUUGCAGAUCAAACUCACAAGACGUAUUUCCUAAACCCGUAGUCGGACCAUAGAAUACCUCGAGACUCUCUCAGGGUCAGGUAGCAUGGGACUACUUGUGAGUGGACAUUUAUUUUAAAUAUGCCUUAUUUUCAAUGAUUGAAAGGUUAUGCAUGGAAUGGAUUUAUUUAUAUACAUUUAGAUAUUUUGGAUUAAAGUUUGAGAAAGUAAUAAGUUGAGAUAUUAGUAAUAUUAAAUUGAGAAUGUGAUUUUUAAUUGGAAAAUUUGAAGUUGAAAUUUGGGGGAUCUGGGAAUUUAGUAGGAUGGGUUAUUGAGGGAAGAUUUAUGAUGACACUAUGUAAGUACCAUCCCCUAGUUACUAGGCUUCCCACACAUGGCGUUGGAAUUACCGACAUGUGGGAAGAACAUGUGUUGAUUAAGUCUCACACGUGGCGUUGGAAUUUCUGGCUUAUGGGAAGAUUAUGUGAAUUAUGAGGAAUCAUCACACGUGGCGUUGGAAUUUUCGGUGUGUGAUGAUGUAGUCUACGCUCGUAGGACUUAGUAUUGGUGCUACACGUGGCGUUGGAAUUUUCGGCGUGUAACCUAUAGAGUUUCGCCCCUAGUUGGACCGCUCAUCUCUAGAUGCAGGAUAGCAACAUGAAAUCCUGCGGGCUAGCCAAACAAUCCCCCGGUUGGAUUGUUUCCCCGGUGCCUAAGUAGUGUGAUAUUAUAAUAUCCCACAUCGACCAAAGGAGAGGGGGUGAUGUGCCUUAUAUGUACAGGCCCAUCUUCAUCUAGCAAGAGACCUUUUGGGAGCUCAUUGGCUUCGGAGUCAUGAGAACUUCGAAGUUAAGCAAGUUGGGGCUAGAGUAAUCCCAAGAUGGGUGACCUAUUGGGAAGUUGCUAGUGAGUUCCCAGAAACAAAACCGUGAGGGCAGAGAGGGGGCCCAAAGCGAACAAUAUCAUGUUACGGCGGAGCUGAUCCCCGGAUGUGACAAUUUGGUAUCAGAGCCACUUUGCCAUGUGGUGCGAGUGUGCCGACGAGGACGUCGGACCCCUAAGGGGGGUGGAUUGUAACAUCCCACAUCGACCAACAGAGAAGGGGUGAUGUUCCUUAUAUGUACAUAUCCACCUCCAUCUAGCACAAGGUGUUUUGGGAGCUCACUGGCUUCGGAGUCAUGGGAACUUCGAAGUUAAGCAAGUUGGGGCUAGAGCAAUCCCAAUAUGGGUGACCCGCUGGGAAGUUGCUCGUGAGUUUCCAGAAACAAAACCUUGAGGGCAGAGAUGGGGGCCUAAAGCGGACAAUAUCAUGCUAUGGCGGAGCCGAUCCUGGGAUGUGACAUCGUGGGCAAGAGUUGUUUCAACCUACAUAAAUGACUCCUUGAUCACAAAGGCUAAAGCAAGAAAGGAAGGAGAAGCCUCUAUAUGAGUUGUUUCAGGUUGCACUAUCCUAAUAUUAGUAAGUAAACAGUGGCUUAUGCAAUGCAUUUUGAGUUUUAUGCAAUGCAGUUUCUGUUUUAUCUAAUGCAGUUUCCAACCUAAUUUAUGAUAUAUCUUGUUUUUGAACUGUGUUGUUUGUACUAUGUGAGAAGACAAAUAUCAUACAACCAAUCUUUGGCAAGGACAAAGAAAUUCAUGCAAUUCUUAAAUGGAGUCUUGUGGAACUCCACACAAGAUUCAGCCAAAUAAAGGACUUAAAUGACAUAGAGGUAUGCAAGUUAUCACAUGUUCUAUUUUAAUAUAUCUUGAAUGUGAAUCCAUGCUAAAUCAUUCUCAUUGUAUAGGGUAUUUUCAAAACCUCUAAAAAGUCAAAAAGUACCAGAGAGGAGGGAGACCCUGUUGACAAGGUAAUUAGAAUCUGUACACAGUGGCUUAUGCAUUGCAGUUUCUGCUUUCUACAUUGCAGAAACAGAAACUGUACUGCAGUGUCCAUUUCCUGCAAUGCAGUUUCUAAAUCAUUCUCAUUGUACAAGGUAUUUUGAAAACAUAUAAAAAGCUAAAAACUACCAGAGAAGAGGGAGACCCUGUUGACAAGGUAAUUAGAAUCUCCAAACAGUGGCUUAUGGAUUGCAGUUUCUAUUUUAUUUAAUGUAGUUUCUAAUUAGUUUCCGUUCAAUUUGUAGGAAAAAGAAAACGAAGAUGAUGAAGGGGAAUAAGGAGAAGCAGGGGAAAUAGCAGAACAAGGACAACCUGAUGAUGAUAUCAGACUCCAGAAUUAAAAGAGAUUAGAAAGAAGAAAAGGUUUGAGAUUGAAGCUGGAAAAGAACCUGUUGGGAUUCAAGAACUCUUGGUGAAGUCCAUGAUAGCCCAAAUCAACUACCGCCAACGCCAAAAUCCUAGCUUUGUUUGCCUAAAAAGAUUAAAACUGUGGAAGGAUGAAAUUAAUAAAGACAGUGAGAAGAAAAUGAUGGAAUUGUGGGAUAUAUUUAUCCAAGUAGAAAAGAGAUCAAACGAGUUGGAAGAGGAGUUAGCAACACACAAAGAGAAAUUACAUGAUGAAGAAUAUGUGACUGCAACUAUGACAGUGGAAUCUACAAUUCAGCUUCACACAAUACAAAAUCUGAAAAUGAGGAUUGCACAAUUGGAAGGCAAGGAAUCUUAUAUUGACCCAGAGCCGAGUGCCAAGAAAAUGAAUAUUCCAUAAAAGUAUUAAGGUAGAAAUUGAAAGUAUGUUCUAGGACCCAAUAAUCUUCGAAAUAGAGCGGGAUUUUCCUACAACACAUCCAGUUGAAGAGAAAGAAGAAGAGAAAGAAGAAAAGAAAGAAGACAAAGAAGAAGAGAAAGAAGAAGAAAAAAAAAAGACAAAGAAGAAGAGAACGAAGAAGACAAGAAGAAACAAGAAGAAGAGAAGAAGCAACAAGAAGAGAAAGAAGAAGAGAAGAAGCAAUAAGAAGGGAAGAAGAGAAGAAGCAACAAGAAGAGAAAGAAGAAGAGAAGAAGCAAUAAGAAGGGAAAGAAGAAGAGAAGAAGCAAGAUGCUCCAACACCAAGAAUACAAAGGCUGAAGAACAGAGAAAGAAAGUGACAAGACCAGGCCCGAAUUCCUCAGAAUCCCUGACGAUCCCUGUGGUUUUUCUGACAUCAAACUGAUGCCCGACCUACUUACUAACAACAUCCUCUUCUCUGAAAACAAAGGAAAAGAGGCUCGAGACUUUUUACUGAAAUUUCGGCAGUGUCUCCACUGAAAAAUGGACUUUUCUCAAAUUUUCAACAUGUCAAAACAUAGUAACAACACACCCAACUAGGAGCACGCACAAUACAAAAGCAUGAAGUUUAUAGAAUAGGCCACCGGCCUUACAUCCAAUCCUACAUGGGCAUUAACAGAGCAAUUCUAAGGAAUUUCAGUUUGCAACCGGAAACAAACGUUCAAUGGAAAUAAAAACACAUAAAAACUGCCCUACAGAAGUUCAGGGCGCGGAAAUGCGAAUCUUGGCUCCGUUGCUCGGCUUAGAUGAAGCUACUGUCUGGGGGUAUAAAACAGAAAAUUGUGAGUGGACAAAAACAAGUUUUCAACAUAGUUAUAAACAACGUACGAACCCCACCAUUUUAGGAAAACGAUGACAAAACUUGCAUUCAAAACCAAUAUACAUAAUCAAUUUAAAACCAAGGUAAAACCCAAAACUCGAUAUGGCAUAUAAAACAAACUCGAACUGGACCUUUUUUCCCUUCCCACCACUCUUUUCCAAAACACAUGCCCUUAGGCACAGCGAGCGAGGAAGUAUCCUCACUAAUAAAUAAGAAUAAAUGUGUAUAAGUAUAUAUAGGUAUGACCACUACCAAACUUGUACCGGGGAAACAACCCACCGGAGGAUUGUUUGACUAGACGACAUGGAAGAAUCCUCAAUUGACCAUGUGGCUAGGGCACGAGCCGUCAAAUCGGGGUACUGGGCUCACCAGCACGCACAACAGAAUUCUCAAUACUCGUGCGCUUGUGACAAGUCCUACCCGGGCAGACUACCUCGCUAAGGGUCUACGAAACACCCCGUCAAGGGUGCCAGAGUUCCGACAUAUCCAAGUAUCCAAGUGCUGGGGAGGUACAUAGGGUAGUUCUAAAAGCACUCCAAACUAACAUAAACCACAACCCAAAUCCCAUUCCAUAGCCACUUUCCAACAAUACCAAGUACCCAACAUAUAUACCCAGACAACCGAACAUCACUUGCAUCCAAAACACAAAUCCCAAAUUAUACAUAUUUAAAGUAUAGAGAAUAGCUCUCAAGAUAACAAUAAGUCGACCCAAAAUAAACACAACCUUCAAGUAUCCAAAAACAUACCAAUGAUUUCAUAAAUACCAUAACGUAAUAUUAAAACAAUAUUAAAGUUUCAACGUAAAAAAUAUCCCAAUAUAUAUAUAUGCAUAACAUUCCACCUUUGAAAAUAAUAUUUAUUUACAAACAAAGUCCACUCACAGAAGAUCAGAAGCUACUUGACCCUGAGAGGGCCUUGCUUGCUGAGCAUGCUGAGCCUGAAUACCUAUUGAAGAACAUGAGGACUAGAUUAAAUAAAACACUUUAAAAAAAACUCAUAGUUUUACCACCAAUACUCUUAUAAUCAUACUAUAUUUCCACUUUGGAACAUAUAAUAACUCAUAAUCAAAGGACUCAAUAUGCAUAUUUUUCUAUCCUUGAAAAUAAUGAAUAUUAUUUGAAAUCAAAGUCCACUCACUACCUAAUAAUCAUAGCCGAGCCCAAGGCUCACUUUCAUAACUCACCCAACUCAAUUAACCCAUACUCAUUUAUUCCAUAAUUUCAAUUAUUAAAAUAAUAUCGAAGAAUUUUCAUACGAUAAUAAAAACAAUCUUAAAAUCCCAACAUAGUCAACAUAACUCAAAUAACGGUCGAGACUCGUUAAUAAGGUCGUUCUAGUACUCCUCAAAGGGUGAAACUACCUUGGAAGACUCACGGUCAACCGAGGGGUCAAACUACCUAAACUUGGUCGACCGGGCCCACGGGUCCCAUGACCCCGUUUUACAAUCCAGACAUUCCAAUGAGUUCCACAAGGAUUACAAUACUUUUCUUGCAAGUUUUGUCCGAAUCGGACAGUCGGAUCGCUCACAAUCAUACGAUCGGACGGUUAUCGUAAAACGCAAAUUUUAAGUUAUUGAAUCUGAACAUCCGGGGCUCCGAUUCACGAUCUACGAAAUCCUACACGAUCCUAGGAAUGCCUAGAUCAACAUAUACUAAAUUGGAGUCGAUCCAAUGGUCCGAACAUGUCGCAUCAGGAUAACUCCUAACGUGCGAUGUUCGACCGUCGAUCAAAUGAUAACCAAAUUCAAAUCCGAGCAUACCGUUGUGCUCGGGAUGACAUGGGGAUUAUGUUAGGACCAGGAGGGACUUCAAAAUAGUACCCACUCACUGCCACACGAGCCAGCAGCGCUUGGGUGUCCAAAGCGAUUCCGGCGAUCGAAAAAACUCCAAAUGCCGGUCAAGACUUAUACCUACAUGAUCAAGACAUUGAGUGUAGCAACUCUUGUUCUUGGACCUACCCUAAAAAGUGGGCGGAAGUGGCCGGAAUUGAGGGCCGAAAAUUGGCCAAACUAUUAUUGCUAAAUUGACACUGAAAACGUAGAAAUUGAUCCUAAAUAACAUGACCAGCAGCUAGAGCACAUUGAGAGGAUGGAAAAGCAUAGUUGGAUUGCAAGAUUUGGUUGCCUGAAAUGUUCGAAACGAUCGAGGGAAUUUUCUCACAAAAAUGGCCGGUUUUCUUGAUUUUUCGCGCCAAAUUCGGCGGCUCCAGCGGUGGCAACGGGGUGGGAUAGUACGGGGGAGGCUGGCCGGUUGUUUUGGGACCGGUUGCAGCUCUGGUGACGCUCUGUGGCGGUAGUGGCGAAGGUGAAACCGUCGCUGCAAACAGUCUGUGGAAGGGGGCCCGGAGAGAGAGAGAGAGAGAGAGAGAGAGAGAGAGAGAGAGAGAGAGAGAGAGAAAUGGGAGGGUUUUUUUUUAUUUUAUUAAAACCAACUUCAAAAAUAUUACGGUUAUGCCACUGAGUGUAUUUUGAUCGUAUUUUUUUUGUUAAACCUAUGAUUCGAGCCCGCUACGUGUCUACAGACUCAUCUCGGUACGAUCUAAGUAAAAAUAUCAGUCACUACCCCAAAAUCCCUCCGAAUUAAAAAAAAAAUCCAAUUUACCCUGACCCCAAGGGCAAAAUUAUAAAUUCAUAAUUAAAUUAAUUUCCAAUUUUAACUGGAUAAAUAUACUAAGGUCGGGGUGUUACAAAAUCACCCAACAAUACCUAUGUCAAACCAUUCAGACUAACAAAGGGAGCAUUUUUUGGUUCUUGGACCACGACCAAAAAGUGGUCGGAGCUAGCCAGAUCAAAGACAGAACCUUAUGGUUCUAACUGGAACUUCCCAACCUUGUAACAGCGACGCAACCACCAAUGGUGUCGCACAACAUAGGGAAAAGCAAGAGAGAAGAGAGAGCUACUUGAUCCAAGUGGUGGCGUGACCAGAGGUGGUCGGAAUAGUUUUCGGCAUCGACGGGAGUUUUGGCCGAAUUUUAGACUGGAGAAAUUAGGUGGGUCAGGUAGAGGAGGAGGAGAGGAGAAUUUUGGAAGUUGUUUCAUCAGAAACGGCGGCGAUGGAGGAGAGAGAUCGGGGGAGGAGAGAGAAGACGCGUGGGGUAACUCCUUCGUUAAAACUUCGAUUUGGGACACUACGUGUCUACGAACUCAUAUCGACGAGCUCUAAGCAAUGAUGCCACUCAAAUCCCAAAAAUCUUUACGGAUCGAAAAGUGACCAAUGUGACCUUGGCCCAAGGACAAAAUUAUAAUUUCACAAUUAUAUAAAUUUAAUAAAAUUGAAUAAAAUGAUUAAAUUGGGCCAGAGGCGUUACAACCUACCCCCUUACAAAAAUUUCUUCCUCGAAAUUUCAUACCUGUCAUUCGAGGAGGUAAGGGUACUUGGCCUGCAUAUGUGCCUCGGGUUCCCAACUGCCUUCCUCCAUGGUUUGACUCCUCCAAAACACCUUCACUAUGGUUCUAGAAUGAAACACUUUUUCCUUUCUAUCCAGAAUCUACACAGGUUGCUCAUCAUACUCUCAACUCCUUAAACCUAAAAAGUGACCAAUGUAACCCUACCCCUAGGGCAAAAUUGUAAUUUCAUAAUUAAAUAAAUUGAAUCAAAUUGAAUAAAAUGAUUAAAUUGGGUCGGAGGCAUUAUAGAAAGAGGCAUCAAGCAUCUUGCUGUGAGUACGAAAAAGAUAAGCAACCAAAAAAGGAGGCAAAAAAGGAUGAUGAAGAAUUACCACAAUUCAAGCUUAUCUCUUCUGAAGAGCCAUCAACACAAGAGGAUUCUCAAAAUCAUAUGGAGGUAUGCAAUUACUACCGUUCAAGCAUUUUUUUUUUUUAUGCAUUGCAGAAAAUAGAAAUUGCAAUGCAAUUUCUGUUGUAGUUUUCGUUUCUACAAUGCAGUUUCUAUUUUCUGCAUUGUAGUUUCCGUUUUAUCCAAUGAAUUUUCUAAUUAGUUUUCUUUCAAUCUGCAAUCAACACAAGAUGCAUCUUAGCCUGAUGCCAGAGAUCCACUUCCUCAUUCCCCACAAGGAACAAGCCUUCACGAUUCAAUAAUUCUUGGUUUGAAAAAAUUAGAUGAUGAAGAUGAACGGCCAAAAUAGACACAAAAAAAGCCAAUUAAGAAGGCACUAGGAUGAGGGAAAAUGAAGGAUUGGCAGAAAAUUCCAAAAGAGGACAGGGACAAAAUUCAAGAAUACUACUUAAGUACUCAACCUAGGUAGUAUCCUAUUCCAAAAGAACAAUAAUUUCAUCUUUUAAUUACAAUUAAACUGAAACUAAUCUUGUGAAUUUCAUGUAUUCAAAUCCACAGUGAUAACUUUUGGGCAGGACUUCGUGAUGAGAAAGUGACAAACCGUAAUAUCAAAGAUAUUGUAUGAGACCUGGAACUGUCACAAAAUGUAAGUCUAAACUACUAAAACACACAUUGCACUGCAGUUCUUAUUUGUGCCUCAUAUAUUAACCAUUAACAAUUCCAUUUUUCUCCAAUCAAUGUGAAACAGGUUAUUGAAGUCUACAUACAAAUCGAGGAAGAUAAAAUAACUCCAUAGUACAUGUCUACAUGGACUUGGGUAAGAAUUAUUUUCAAAUUUUAAAAUUGAUUAAACAGACACUACACUGCAGUUUUCGAAAAAAAAUAUACUAACCAAUUUCCAUUCAAUGCAUGCAGUCAUACAUGCAAAACUACAUAGAGCCAGCUUGGCAUAGGGUCAUGUAUGAACCCUUUUUGGAAAAACUCGGGGAAUGCAAUCUGCUUUUCUUCCCAAUCAUUUUAAGCUCCGAGUUUCACUAUACCCUCCUUGCAUUUCACAAACUAGAACAAAAGUGGAGAUACUACAAUCCACUCAGGUCAUUGGAAGCAACAAAACAAGAAAGAUGCAUUGACAUUUCUCAUCAAAUUGUAAGUGGAAUGUACCUGUCUUAAUUUCUCAGCACAAACACAAACUGUAUUGCAGUUUCUGUAUUAUACCCGCUGCCUAAUUUCAGACGAAAAUUAUAAUAUGCAAUGCAUUGAUUACCCUUUUUUUUUUCUUUUCUUCUUCUUUCAAUAGGUUAAUGUUGUUGGAGGGUAGCUAGAAUACAUGAGACCUAAAGCACAAGUGUUCUUAGAAAGUAGAAAAAUACCAAAACUUGUGAAGCAAAGGGAAGAGCCCCUACACCUGUAACGCAAGAGAUGUCCUCAAAUGAAGAACUCACUCUCAAUUGGAUUUUGCAGUGUCUAUGUCAGUUUCCAUUUGAGGAUGACACAGAAUGUGCUCAACAAAGUUCAUCUUCAUAAGAAUUGUUUUUACUCAACUAUUCAUUACAAUUUGAAAUCAUUCAAAACCAAAAACUAAUCUCAUAUUCAUUUGCAGGUUGGAUUGUGGCAUGUUCGUCAUGUUCUACAUGGAUAAAUAGCACAAGGACAACCCAUUCCAAAAAGUGUAGACAAGAAUUUCAUGAAUGAAUAUCGAGCAAAAUACAUCACGAAACUCCUGCACCACAAAAACUGUCCCAUUAAUCGUCUCUAGUGAUUUGUCUUUUGUUAACUCAAGACAAUAUGUAUCUUAAUUCUUCUGGAUGUUUGUAAAUAUUUCUAGUUAUGGGAUAUGAGAAAGGAUUUGUUAUACAUCUAAACUGUCAUAUAAUCUUAGAACAUUUUGCAACAAAAUGAAAAGGAAACAAGAAUCUGCAACAAACGGAAACUGCAAUGCAGUGUAUGAAAAAAAAAACUGGUCAAAUGUGAAAAGAAACCAAAAGCCAAAGCCAUGAUCAAAGCACUAAAACUUUGUUCAAAACACAUUUAAGUAGGUCAGCAGUUGUAACAUUUCAAUAGACUUGCAAAAAUUAUUCUGAAAUCGAAUUAUGAAACAAAAAAACUGCACUACAGUUUCUAGUAAAAAACUGCAACAAACGGAAACUGCAAUGCAGUUUAUGAAAAAACAUAAGCUCAAAUGUGAAAAGAAAAGAAAAGGCAAAGCCAUGAUCAAAGUACUAAAACUAAUAUCAAAACACAUUUAACUCUAUAAGCAGUUGUAACAUUCCCAUAUACUAAAAAAAAUUAUUCUGAAAUCAAAUUAUGAAACAAAAAAACUGCAUUGCAGUUCCUGAAAAAAAAAUUGCAACAAACGGAAACUGCAGUGCAGUUUAUGAAACAAAAUCUGCUUAAAUGUGAAAACAAGCAUUGAAUGGCAGUUAAAAAUGAAUAUCCACUGAUGAAACAAUUGUAUAAUUUUCAUUAACUUAAAAAUAAAACAAAAAUUCGUAAUAUCCAAUUAGAAGCUGUGUAGCCAAUUACAAGCAACUAAAAACUGCAAUGCAGAAAUUGACUAUACAUUCACUAAAUCAUAUCUAACAUUAGCAAUCGUCAACUAGGAAGGAAUGUUCAUAUCACCGCCUUGCAAGUCUUCUUGUUGUGCCCAGCAACACUACACUGACUACAUUUCAAUGGCCUUGUACCUUCAGCAAAAGCUUUGAUCCUCUUCGUUGGUGAUCUUUCGGCUGGCCUUUUUGUAAUUAGCGGAAGCACAACUCUAGCAGUUGAACUGUUGCUGCCCAAGCGUUUCCUAAUCUCUUGAAUAGGAAAAAUAGGACUAUCAAAGGCUUUUCGAAAGAAGUCGGACCUGUAGUAACAUGCAAAGUAAUCAUAAACAGAAUCUUUCUUUGCUAGAAUUGCAGCCACGACAUGCAUACAAUGAAAACCAUCAAUUUGCAAAAGACGGCAAGAACAUGUCAUUUGCCCAAGAUCAACCAUCACAGAAAAUUAGCAAAUACUUCAAAAAUAGUGAAACUAGAAUGGCAUACGGCCCAAGUCCUGCUAGCCUAAGUGUUUUCCCACAGUCUAGUUUCCAUCUCUGAACACAAAAUUGUUGUCCACUUCUCAGCUUCAAUUUGUCGUUGAGAAUUCAAUACCAUCAAUUUCUAUCGAGUCCCUUCCAUCAAAGGUAACACCGGCAAAUCUCGAAAUACACCAACCCAGUUAUUAAACGACUCGGCUAAACUGUUUGCCAUCUCCCCAUAACGCAUUCAUUUAAAAAAUGCGUUGGCAUAGUGAUCUCUGGACAAAUCAAAUAUAAAUAUCUUCUCUUUCGCACUCCCAACAAUCACCAACUCAUCCAUUGCUAUUUUAAACGCUUCCGCUGUAACAACAUAUGCACAUCUACUAAAUAGAUUAAUAACACAGUUUUGGAGUAGUUUCUCAUAACCUGACUUCGGGUAUUGCGAUAUCAAAUUUUGUUUGAGGUGAUAGUAACAGUAGGAAAUAGCCAUCCAGGAAACACAACCCCCAUUGCAUUUAACAAACUUUGAUUACGGUCCAAGAAAAAAGUCACCAUUCUCCCCAUUGGUAGCAAUAUAGCAACCAAAUGUUGAAGAAACCAAGUCCAAUUCUGCUCUGCCUCAGAAUCAAUAACUCUAAAAGCUAAAGGAUAAAACCCUGCAAAACAAAACCAAAAGCACAAGUAUAAGCAACAAACGGAAAUUGCAGUGCAGUUUAUGAAAACAAAUCUGCUCAAAUUUGAAAGGAAACCAAAAGGCAAAUCCAUGAUCAAAGUACUAAAACUAAGUUCAAAACACAUAUAAGUCCAUGAGAAGGUGUAACGUUCCCACAGACUUGCAAAUAUUAUUCUAAAAUUGAAUUAUGAAACAAGAAACUGCAGUGCAGUUUCCCUAGUAAAAACUACAACAAAUGGAAAUUGCAGUGAAGUUUAUGAAAACAAAUCUACUCAAGUGUGAAAAGAAACCAAAAGGCAAAGCCAUGAUAAAAGUACUAAAAUUAAGUUCAAAACACAAUUAAGUCCAAUAUCAUUUGUAACAUUCCCAAAGACUAGGAAAAAUUAUUUUGAAAUCGAAAUAUGGAAUAGGAAAAUGCACUACAGUUUCUGAUAAAAAAUGAAAUAAACGGAAACUGCAGUGUAGUUUAUGAGAAAACAUAUGCUCAAAUUUGAAUAGAAACAAAAAGGAAAAGCCAUGAUCAAAGUACUAAAACUAAGUUCUAAACACAUUUAAGUCCAUAAGCAGUUGUAACAUUCCCAUAGACUUGCAAUGUAGUUUAUGAAACAAGAAACUCAGAAACUGCAACAAACAGAAACAACAAUGUAGUUUAUGACAGAAAAUUAAAAAACUUCGAAUCAAAAUCAAAAGGAAAAGCCACGAUCAAAGUACUAAACUAAAUUCCGAAAACAUAUAAGUCAAUAUGAACGAAAAAAAGGUUCUCAAGUACCCAUACCUCAACACCUAGGACUGCCAAAAAUCUCCCCAUCACAAAACGAAGAAGAUACAAAAUGGCACACACAAAAUCGCGCCACAAAACUGAGCUCGAAAUAGGAGGACUAAGAUCGAACUAGAGCACAGAAAUCGCACGCCAAAACAAACCUUGAUUCUGCAUGCAAAAGCAAAAUUACACCCAAAACAUAAAGAUCAAUCUAAAUAACACAAAACGUAAUCAGAAUAAAACAGAAAAUCAAAUGAAAACCUACCAGAAAAUUGAAGCUCCAAUCGCAGCUAAAUAAACCAGAGCUCCAAAAUGUUAAGCCGAACGAAAACGAAAGAUAAAAGUUCAAAUCACGCAUAAUUUAAAUAGACAGGGGUAAAAAAAGUCAUUUACUUUGUAAGUUUUACAGUUGGGCUAGGCUUUUUAAGAAGAAGAGUGGCAUUGUCUUUUCAGUUAUUAUUUUAAGCUGACUCAAUGAAUCUGGGCCUCCUCUUUGGCCUAAUCCAAAAUAACAAUUCUUUCCUAGGUAUUAAAACCCAAACAAAAAUACCCACUGUCUCAAAUACAAAUUCGUAAAGUUACUUAUGUCUAAUACCUAAUUUUUCUUUAAAUAAAAUAAGUUGUAAUAUCCUACAUCGACCAACAAAGAAGGGGUGAUGUGCCUUAUAUGUACAUGCCCGCCUCCAUCUAGCACAAGGUCUUUUGAGAGCUCAUUGGCUUCGGAGUCAUGGGAACUCCGAAGUUAAGCUAGUUUGGACUAGAGCAAUCCCAGGAUGAGUUCCUAAAAACAAAACCGUGAGGGCAUGGGGCCCAAAAACGGACAAUAUCGUGCUACAACGGAACCGAUCCGGGGUGUGACAAUUUGGUAUCAGAGCCAUUCUGCCGUGUGGUGCUAGUGUGCCGACGAGGACGUUGGGCCCCUAAGGGGGGUGGAUUGUAAUAUCUCAUAUCAACCAACGAAGAAGGGUGAUGUGCCUUAUAUGUACAUACCCGCCUCCAACUAGCACGAGGCCUUUUGGGAGCUCACUGGCUUCGGAGUCAUGGGAAAUCCGAAGUUAAGCUAAUUUGGGGUAGAUCAAUCCCAUGAUGGGUGACCCAUUGGAAAGUUACUCAUGAGUUCCCAUAAACAAAACCGUGAGGGCAUUGGGCCCAAAAACAGACAAUAUCGUGCUACGGCGGAGCCAAUCAGGAGUGUGACAUAAGUGGUGUGAUGUGUCCAGUUUCUGCUCACCAUUCGUUAUAUCAACUACAAAUAGCCUUAAUACUUAACAAUUGAAAAACAUUGAAAAAAAAAUAUCAAUAAAAUAAUUAAAAAAAAGAUUGGGGAUAAUUAUUGGACAAAGCCAAAGUUGAAUGUGAGUAUUUUUGCUCACCACUUUAACUCAAGGUGUACCAUCACCACCCUUCUCAACACUUGACACGUGUCUAUUGACAUAACCAUGGUUCCAUAAAUACAAAGUAAAGAGUUAACUAUAAUUAUGCCAAUAGACACGUGUCAAGUGUUGAGAAGAAUGAUGAAGGUACACCUUAGGUUAAAGUGGUGAGCAAAAAUAUUUCCAAAGCUGAAUUGCGGAGAAGUCUUCCAAUUUUAGUUUGUAGUUUCCAUCUAAUGCAUUAUUUAUUUGCGUCAUGGUGUGACUGGCACUCAAAUAGCCACCACAAGUUCUAAGAUUCGGUUGAAUAAUAUCCCAUUUUGCAUGUAAUGCCUAAAAAACAUUGUGGCGUUAAUUAGUUGGAUUAAUCCAGAUCUUUGUGUACUCCCAAGCAGUCAUGAGUCCAAGUUCUUAAGAUAACAGUGUGUGUGAGUUUUCCCCUUUCCUUCCUAACUUUGACAAAAAAAUAAAUACGAAUGUUAAAUUCUACAUUCUCAAAGUGGGUUAGCUCCAUUAAUCAAGUUCACUGAUAUACUCUAACUAAAUUAAGAAAUUAAAUUUGGUAGGGUUUUGUUUGGAGUCAAAAAUUUAGAUUUGAUGUAUAGAUAGUAUAGGUAUACCUACCAUGUUAACCAUUCUUAACUAAUUUAAUAAAUCUGAGGACUCAAAUUAUAAGUCUGUAUAGUUGGAGGAAAAAACAUUUUGAAUCCGGGCAAUACAUGAAUAGUUGAAUUUUAGAGAGUGGAAUUUAAAUUUAGCCCCAUCAUGGUUGGAGGUGACCUAACUUGUCUUCUCCACACAUAUUGUGAUCAUUAGUAAAUGUGUUUCAUGUGUUUCGUGAGUUUCAUGAUGAGCAAGCAUCUGCUACCGCUUAAAGUUAUAAUAUAAAAUAUCAGGCAAUUUAACUGUAAUGACUUGUAUUUAAGGAGAAGCCAAGUUAUACGUUGUUUAACAUUCUGCCUUAUCCAUAUCAAAUUUCAAAACUGAUAAGCAUAAGCAUGGCUCUGCACGGUUUUAUUGGGACUCAAAUAGAACUCAAGUCACCUGCUGAUAAGUUCUACAAAAUCUUCAAGGGCCAAGCCCACCUCAUCCCAAAUGUUUCUUCUGGCCAUAUCAAAGGCGUUCAGGUGCAUGAAGGAGAUUGGGAAACGCACGGCUCUGUUAAGAUCUGGAAUUAUCAUCUAGGUAAUUAAGUAACUAUGGUGACCCACUUAGGACAAGUUUAGUUAUUUUCUGUUUCAUUGUUAACUAUAUGAUAUGGGUAUGAAAAAAACAUCAUAAGAUGAGCUUAUAUAUAUUUUGUUGUUGUGAAAUAAAUAUGACAGGGGACGAAGUUCGGACAAUCAAGGAAAAGGUUGAGUACGACGACAAGAACAUGGCGGCAACUCAUAUUGGAUUGGACGGAGAAGUGUUCAAGUAUUACAAGAGCUUUAAGGGCAUCUAUCAGUUCGCUCAAAAGGGUGAUGUUUGCGUAGCUAGCCUGACGAUUCACUAUGAGAAACGGAAUGCGGAUGUUGAAGCUCCAGAUAGAUAUGUUGGUCUCAUGGUUACCCUCGUCAGGGAUCUUGAUGCUCACUUUGCCAAGGCAUAAUCGAAUAUCAAAAGCACAUAUAUAUGUUAAUGCAUGCUUUGUCUGGUUAAUAUUAUAAGUAAUGCUUUGUUUUAUGUAAGUUUUUCUUUAUGGCAAUUGCAUGAGGGGAUUUCAUAUGUGAUAUAUUGUGAUGUAUUAGCUAUGUGGGUUAUCACAUACAUAAAAUAAAAUGCGUGGUGUGCUAUAUAUAUAUCUUCAGUUCUUGAUCAUCAUUCAUAUAUCAAGUACAAAAUAGACUUAAAAAUCAACAAUAUCCAACUGGUAUAUGUUGCGCGCUUGGAUUCAAAGUACUUGAAGAUCAAAAAUUGAAGUAUGUUGCGUGCUUGGAUUCGAAUUUCACAUUGAACACAAGCUAAAAGUAGUAAAAAGUAGUCGAAGCAGCUGGAAGCUCUUUCCUUCAUCAUUUGCGCUCUCCUUUUCCCUCUUCGUCUCUCUCUUUCUUUAUCUCUCUGCCCUUCUUCCCUAUGAAAUUGCUGGUUUACUUUAAUAUUAACAAUCGACAUAAAGAAAAGAAAGUGUAGCUGGAUGCGACUAAUGAAGGAUAGAUACCACAAAGAAAAAAGUUUUCACGUUCUUCCAUUCCAUAAGCAACACUGAAAAAUUUCCUAAUAAUGUAUGGACGAAACUCUCAUGACAACUAAUCCAAAGCAAACACAACUCAACCCAGCCGGCAGUGCAAUAAGCACCCUCCCUCUCAAAACCCAUGACGUAACAUAAUCGUGUUAAUUAAUGCGUGCUUUGUUUAAUUACAAGUAAUUAAAGAAAAAUGCUUUGCCAUGUGUUUGUGUCAAGAGAUGUCAUAUGUGAUAUUGUGAUGUAUUAACUAUGGUCAUCACAUAUAUAAAAUAAAAUGAGUGGUCUGCUGAUGUGUCCAGUUUUUGCUCACAUUCGUUAUAUCAACUACAAAUAGCCUUAAUACUUAACAAGUGAAAAAAAAAGAAAAAAAAAAGAUCUAUAUAAAAUAAUAAAAAGAUUGGGGAUAAUUAUUGGACAAAGCCAAAGCUGAAUUGCGGAGAAGUUUUCCAAUUUUAGUUUGCAAUUUCCAUCUAGGAAAAUUCUCUAGUCCUUUGGUGUAUGGGUACACCAAAGGAUAUGGGCCGUUAGAUUGAGAUUAGUGGGAUAUGGAUGGACUAAUCUACACCUUUGAUAUAGAAAAUCUGGAAACCUAGUAUUGGAGGUAAAAAGGUUUAUUAAAUAUUAAAAUAUGUUACAGUCCAAUUGCCAAAUCGAUACCCAUCAAUUGUCAAAUCGUUACCCAUCAAUUGCCACAGUCACUUGACGUUUUAAUCAUGGUGUAAAAGCUCGUAAAUUCGAACUCAAAUUCUGUAAUUUACAAGAUUAAGGAUAGACUUUACAAUGUUAUGGACAUCUAUGUGCCAAAUAUUUUAAUAUGAUUCCUUAAGGUUGUAAACCAAUAUUUUUACAAGCAUAUAGAUAACAUUUACAAUGUUAUGGAACUCUCAAGUCCCAAAAACUGCAACAUGAGUAAUUAAUGUUGUAAAUAUUGGUUUUUACAAAAACUAAGAACAAUUUUACUUUUUAAGGUCCAACCAAACCUUAAUAUUGUAAUCGACAUCAUUUUCAUUGUAAAUUAGGCUAUUACAAUAUUAUGGAUUAGAGUCAACCUUGUAAUUACGAUGCAAAAGCUCAUAAAUUCGAACCAAAAUCUUGUAAUCUACAAUAUUAAGGAUAGACUUUGCAAUGUGACAAGACGUUUAGGUGUCAAACAUUGUAAUAUGAGUCCAUAAUAUUGUAAGCCUCUGUUAUUACAAUAUUAUGGAUAAAAUUUAAAAUAUUAGAGAACUCUCAUGUGCCAAACAUUUUAAUAUGAUUCCUUGAGGUUGUAAAUCAUUGUUUUUACAAGCUUAUGGAUAACAUUUACAAUUGUAUGGAACCCUAAGUUCCCAAAAACUGUAACAUGAGUCCUUAAUGUUGUAAAUCUCUGUUAUUACAAGAUUAUGAAUAAAAUUUAAAAUGUUAGAGAACUCUCAUGUGCCAAACAUUUUAAUAUGAUUCCUUAAGGUUGUAAACCAUUGUUUUUACAAGCUUAGGGAUAACCUUUACAAUUGUAUGGAACUCUAAGGUCCCAAAAAUUGUAACAUGAGUUCUUAAUGUUGUAAAUCUCUGUUAUUACAAGAUUAUGGAUAAAAUUUAAAAUGUUAGAGAACUCUCAUGUGCCAAACAUUUUAAUAGGAUUCCUUAAGGUUGUAAACCAUUGUUUUUACAAGCUUAGGGAUAACCUUUACAAUUGUAUGGAACUCUAAGGUCCCAAAAACUGUAACAUGAGUUCUUAAUGUUGUAAAUCUCUGUUAUUACAAGAUUAUGGAUAAAAUUUAAAAUGUUAGAGAACUCUCAUGUGCCAAACAUUUUAAUAUGAUUCCUUAAGGUUGUAAACCACUGUUUUUACAAGCUUAGGGAUAACCUUUACAAUAUUAUGGAACUCUAAGGUCCCAAAAACUGUAACAUAAGUCAUAAUAUUGUAAAUUCUAGGUUUUACAAGAAUAAUCACUACAAGAAAAAUGUUCUACAACAACAUGUCAUUAACAACAUGCAUAGGUUGUGCGUUGUGGAUGUGGGCUUUCACAGCGUGUUGCAAUAGUGUGUUGUAGUACAUAGAGUUUAACAACGUGUAUUUACGGUACAUUGUUGAACGAAAUUUAGAAAUUUUUUUGACAACGCACCUUGGCGUGCUGUUGUAUAUUUAGUUCAACAACAUGCAUCGCAUGUUGUCAAAAAUAUAUCACUUUUCUACAAUAAUAAAGAAAAAAAGGGAAAAAAAUUGAUAAUAAAAAAAAAUUCCAAAUUUUUUGCUGGAAAAACUCCCUCUCAUUCGACCAAAAAAAAAGAAACUCCCUCUCUCUCAAAAUCUGAAAUGUUCUAAAUAUUUGACAAGCUCUCUACAUCUUCUAAAAACUCUCUCUCUCCAUCGUCACAACCCAAUCUCCAAAAUUUUCUCUACUCUUAAAAAUUCAAUCAAAGACCCACGAAAUCUAAACUCUAACCAUCCCUCAAGCCUCCAUGGCAGAAGCUUGAAGCUCUCUCUCUCUUUCUCUCUCUCUCUCUCUCUCUCUCUCUCUCUCUCUCUCAUCAGUAACUUUUAGGGCUAGGCAUCUGAGGACCGCCCUCGCCGCCUACUCGAUGUCACACGCCACUGCACAGAUGCAGACCAUUGGCUAGCUCUGAUUGGGAGUUGUUCAUCUUCGAUAUCUACAAUCGGGUAAUUGAGUUCCCUUUUUGUCCCUGCUACUGAAGAUUAGGGAUUAAUUUUCAUUUGGGUUAUGUUUGAUUUAUAGCUUAUUUAUAUCUUCGAUUUGCUUUAUGUGAAUUCUUGUGUAUAACCUAAAUUGUAAAUUUUUACAAAAGCAUUAACAUAUAAAGGGUUUUGGAAUGGUACAAAUCUCCUGUGUUUAUUUAUUUAUUUAUUUUCUGUUCUUUGUAUUUUCAAUGUUUCUUUUUGUCUUGCCAUUUUGUUGAAUCUUGUGUGUUAUUUCACCUUCAGAGGAGAGAUUUAUAAAGUACUAUGAGAGUCUAACUGAAGAAAAGACAUGUAUGUGUACAUGUAUACUAUUUAUUUUUAGAAUCAGGGGAAGAUGAGAAAGUACUAUGAGUAUUAGGUUAUCUUUAUCACUUCUAAACACUCCAAACUGAGCUCAGUACAACUUGUCUGUCUAACUUUAGUUAAAGUUUUCUACUUGAAGAAUUAUACGUAUUGGGUUUUCAAGUUUUCUACCUGGUAUAAUAUUUAUUGUUACUGUAAUUAUACAUGCUUUUCUCAUAAGGUCCCAUUUUGGUGAUGGAUAGACAAGCGUGAGGAGAUGGAGGACUCAUAAGCCGGAGUUACAUCCUACUUUGUACAUGGAGAUUUGUGGGAGUCUUUCAAGGACUGGAGUGCAUACGGUGCAUGGGUCACAAAAUGGGAGUGACUCUGUUAUGUACUAUGUUCGUUAUUUGUCUGCUAUUCAGCUCUAUGUAGACCCAUCAAAGCCCUCCACAAGAAUAAGGUCAACAAUAUCGUAAACACAAGACUUUCAAUCAAUUCAGUCUAUGUGAUUUGUCUGCUUAAGCACUCUGGAUUAUAGUUUAUGUUUGUAGCUGCUAACUCUGAUGCAAUGUUCAUUCCUUAAUGUUUCUGUUCAUCCUUUAUUGUGUCUAGUUUAUGGGUUCACAUAAAUGUCAUUUUGUGGGGAAAAUCUUGAGGAAAUUUGAAUUUAGUGACUGAAGCAGAUGGAGCAUGCUGUGCAUUUUGGUGUGAUUAAUUUUUUCAUUAUCAUUGUUGGAUUCCUUGCACUUCUAUUGAGGUUGUUAUAUAUGAUCUCUUUGUUGAGUCACUCUCUGAGAUUUAGUUGCCUACUUACCCUGAUUACAUCUGUCUAUUACAAUGUCCUGAAAUCUUGAUUGUAUUUUUAUGUUAAAAUGUUCUGUUAAUGCCUUCAUUUACUGGCCCUUCACUUGUAGCUUAAAAAUUGUAUUACAAAAUCCACCAUUUCUUUGAAUGGAAUGGUCAAGGCGAUUGUGGAUACCACUUGGUUGAUUGGGUUACAAUUUGUUUUAAAUGUUGCUGAAUCUUGCAGUAUAUGGGGAAAUGGAGGUGAUAAUAGGCAGUGGAAAAUAUGUAUUUUGAAAUUAGGUUGUGAAGAAGAAUUAUGGUAGUGUAAUGGGGGUUGGUCCGUUUAUCAGGUGAGGCAUCUUAUAGGCAGUGGAUGACAAGAUCUUUAAUAUGAUGCAUGGUGCGGUACUUAUAUUUAGUGUUACUUUGUGGUAAAGUGAAUGUCUUACAGUUUGUGGCAUAAUCUCACCUUGACUUGGCAAAAUGUUGCCCAGAGUUGCAUGCUAAUAGCUAGUUUGUACUAGAAUAGGUAUGUGCAGUAAAAUCUCCAAAAAGAAUUAUAUAUAUAUUCAUAGCUUUUCAUGGAGAUACAUUAUAGGUUAUGCAAGUAUUUCUUUUGACAGUAGACUUCUUAGCAAUUGCAAUAAUUUGUUAUUAUUUAUUUUAUUAUUUUGGUUAUGUCUAUGUUUUUUAUUUGCUCAUAGCCUUCUGGAAUCACUAUGCCAAAUUUCACUUUUAGCAACACUACAUAGGCAUCGGUGAGUAGAAAAAUCGAUGCUAUUAGUAAAUUAGGCAUCGAUUUCAUAAAUAACGAUACUAACAAAUAUAAAAACAUCAGCACAAAUUUUUGUUUUUUUAAUGACGAUGCCUUUAUUCCCCUUCACCAUCAUCUACACUAGCCUAUCUGCAUGCGCUUCCGCGCUUGCGAGAGGUUUUUUAAAAAAAAUAAGUAAAUUUAUUUUAGAAUUAAAAAAGAUAAUGGGUAGUUGUGUUCCAUAAAAAUAGGAUCCAUUAUCUGCUUUUUCUUUUUCUUUUAAUUUUUUUAAAUAUGAAAAAGUGUGAAUUUACCAUAUUAUCCUCAUUUAAUUAAUAAUUUGAAUUCUUAAUGUUUGCAUUAACCAAGGGUAUUUUCUGGUAUUUUGAAUGUUUCACCAUUCUCUCUGCCUUUUGCUUUAUAUAUAUAGAUAAACACAAAUGCCUAAAGGAUUAGUUUUUAUUUUAUUUUUAAGAGGGACAUUUUUUGGUAACAUCCCUCCGAUGCCUAAAGUCGAGUCAACCCUAACCCAAAAUUUUCAUGCUCUCCCUCGCAAACUGUCUGCCCAAAACUUCAUCUUCGUCCCGAACUCUAGCCCCAAUUACUUCCAGCUCCCUCUCAAUUUUUCACUCCCUCUCAAACUGUCCCCCUAAAACUUCAUCUCCUGAAAGUCUCUCUUUCUUCUCUCGCCUCCAUCACUGCCCCAUUCUUGCUAAAACUAUCAUGCUCAACCAUUACGAUUCACAGUGAGAAUCAUUCUUCCAUUUCAACGAUUCUCAAGCCAGCUCACACAAUUUCUCAAGCCCAGACUCUUAGACGGAAGUUUAAGUCGACGAUUGUGUGGUUUUGUCUAUCAGUGAAGCAUUUCCCUUUCCCCCAAAAGUUAGGGUUUUGAUCACACCCCACACCUCCUCUUCUGGUAAGCUUUUCUUCUCUCUUCACAACUAAAAUUUAGGUUAAACAUUCUUUCUCUCAAUACUGGGAAAAUCUUUAAAGUUUUUGGAGUUGCAGAGCCGUAACUUUUAGAAAUUGUUGUUGUUACAUUUUCCUAAGCAAGCAUCUGCUACUAAUUUGUCUUUUUGGAUUAGAAAGUCUAAAAUUGUCUAGAGAUCUACAAAGCUGUUAACUUGGGAUUAAAUGAUACAGCAGUUUUAAUAAUCAGCACCAGAUCAAUUUUUUUAAAUAUUUUUUUUGUAGCUUUUUGUUUUAAUAUUCCAUAGCAAUUAGUGUUAGGGAAUGCUUUUAGUGGACUGUGUAUAUAAACCCUCGUUCCCUCACUCUUUCAAUCUCAUAGCAUAUCCCCACACUCUCAGAACUAGUACUUGUGCCAUCUUUAAUCUUCAACGGAAAACAUGGAGCAAACUUUCAUCAUGAUCAAGCCUGAUGGGGUUCAAAGGGGCCUUGUAAUUUCUUCAAAUUCUUCAUCUAUUGUAUUCUUUUGGUACUUCAAUUUUAUAGCUUUAUUUUGGUCUGUUAGUUUUAAGAACUGGGCAAAAUCUUAUGUGUGUUUGAGUGGGUUUGCCUAAGUUCUUGUUUUUGUUUAUGAAUUUCAUAGCAAGUGUUACUGGUAUGGUGUUUGGUUGGUGAGAAAACCUAGGAAUUGAAGGGUUUGGUUUUCUUUUGUGUGGACUGGGGAGCAAGCAAAUUUUAACAAUUCUGAGCUGGGAUUUUAGGUUUUUAUUUACAUGCAUCAAGUUUUAAUAUUUGUAGUAUGUAGUGGUUGGAUUUUACAUGCAUAAUCUUGCGUUUUAAUUAUUUGUGGAUGUGUGAAGUGGGUGAACAAAAGCCGUCCUUUUUAACUUCGGCCGUAGCUUUUUUCUUACAUAGAAUUCAAUAAACUAUUUUAAUUCAAUUCGGGGUCGUUUGGUACGGCGGACUGUUAUGGACUGGACUAAAUCCUGGGACUGUCUUGGAGUAACUCGGAUUGGACUAAGCUAGAUUAAGUACUGACCUGCGUUUGGUGCUGUAUCGGACUAUGAAGCUAGAUUGUAAAAAUAGUGAAGACCUAUGUUUGGUGCUCUGUCGGACUAAAAAAUAAUUAUUUACAUAUUUUUCAAGUGAAUUUUUGCUAAUUUAUGUUCUAAAAAAAGAUUUAAAACAAAUAAAAACUUGAUAUUUUUUUAAAGGCUAAAAUUAUCAUAAAUAAUGAAAAAUAUAUAAUUUAUUAAAUAAAAAAUUAUGGCAUUUUUGCUUGAUGUCAACUGCAUGUGCCAAUCAUCAGAGUUUUCGUUUUUGUUUUUUUUGUUUUUUUUUGUUUUUUGUUCCCUUCUUCUAUUUCUCAAAGGCUGACAAACCCGAAGUCCCAGCACAAGAUAUGCAAACUUCACAGAUCUAACUUCGGAUGUUUUUAUGUAUUAAAAAAAAAAAAACCGUGCAAACUUUCCAAUCAAACCUCUCAUUGAACACCUCAUAACUUUUGAUCCUCCCUCUUUUUAGCUUUUUCUCAAAUUUUCUUCCCUGCAACACGCUUCAGUUGUGAUUCUCUCACAAAUUUCAUCAAUUCUUCCUAAUCACUUUUCAUUUACUCAAUUUGUUCAUAUGAUGAACGAUUCAAACUCAAUCUCACGCCUUGCCAUCAUCUUCUCCACUCUCUGCGUCUGCCAUGGCUGCUUCGACCUUGCACCAAUUCAAUGAAUCAUGGCUUCUAUUAUGAUAGCCAAACAGAGACCCCAAGACUCGUCGUCCCCAACCCACCUGUAAGACCAAACCUCGGACUAUUUCAACGACCAUCAGCAGCAGCAAGAUCUCAAGGCAAUUAUUGGGUUUCAAGCCUUUUUGAUGAACUUGAGCUCGGAAGUGAAGGACUUGGCGUUCGUUGCCCAGACUCGUGUCUAGGUGAAGAAGAAGAAAUUGGUUUCGCGUUGGACUCGAGUAUUCCGUUUUGCGAGCUUCGCUGUUUUGUGAGCCAUGUUUCAAGCUCGCUAAAUUGGAAGAGCGAGUGAGGCAAUUUUUUUACUGUUGGACUAUAUAAUCUCAUUUAAGUUAGUCCCUUUCCUUACCAAACAUGGGUUUCAAGUGUUAUUUAACGUAGUCCAAUCCAGUGAGGCCUCCCAAACAUGCCCAUGCGUAUUGUUUAAUUAUGUGAAGGUUUUCAAAUUUUCUGAGAGGUUCAUGUUUGUUGCAGGUUGGUGACAUCAUUAGCAGGUUUGAGAAGAAGGACUUCUAUUUGAAAGGUAAUUUCCAACCAACGAUGUUUGAUCUUGUAUGAUUAUGUGCACUUUAAUAAUUUGUGACAAUCCUAUUUAACAAGCCUUUCCUGUUUUAUAAUGAUUAUCAACUUGACUUACAGACAAAAACUUUCGGACAUCAAAUUUGAUGUAUGGCUUACAGUUUUGUGUGUUAAUUAUACUACAAUAAGUUUUUUGGGAUGCUUAGCUAAAUUUGUAUGUGUAACUUAUCACGAAUUUCUUCUCAAUAAGGUUUUUUUUUUUUUUUUUUCUGGUAUCUGUUCAGUUUUGAAGUUCAUCAAUGUGGAUCGUCCUUUUGCUGAGAAACAUUAUGAGGACUUGUCUGCAAAGCCCUUUUCAGUGGAUUGGUUGAUUAUAUUAUUUCUGAUCCCGUUGUUGCUAUGAUUUGGGAGGGUAAGAAUGCUAUCCUAACUGGUCGAAAGAUUAUUGGUGCCACCAACCCAGCAGAAUCUGCCCCUGGAACCAUCCGUGGUGAUUAUGCAAUUGAGAUUGGCAGGUAACCUGAUUUACCAUGUUUUCCUGUCUCUUUUGCAUUUAUAACUUUUUUAAUUAUUAUGUUUUAAUUUUUUGGUCUGAAAGAUGAGUAUAUAUGAUGUGGGAUAUGGGUGAAUUGGAUAUUUAGGUAGUUUAGCGGAAGCGAAAACAAUGGAAAACAGAAAAUAGAACAAAAGGGAUAGGUCUGGAAUCACUUCAGGGGUUUGGCUUCACACCAAGUAGUCUCCAAUCUCUGGAAAUAAGCUUUUCUUUAUAUCUCAACAACUGAAUUUUAAAGAACUACAUGGAGGGUAUUUAUAGCAAACUAAAACCUAGAGACAGUAGGAUAAAAAUCCCUUACUAAAACAGAAAUCCUAAUCCACCAAGGAACUAAGUAAAAAUAAACUAGGAAACUUAAAUCAAAUCCUACUAAAUUCUAGAAACUAAAAUCCUAGUGAAAUCUGGAAAACUAAAGAAUCUAGGAAACUAAUAAAUCAGGAAACUAACUAAUGAUGUCCGCAUCAAUUCCCCCUGGCUGAAAAGAUCUUGACUCUGGCGAGAUAAAGCUGUAAUAACAUUCCAAAACGUCGGGAUCAAUGUGCGGCAGGUUCUCCUUUGUAAUCCGAGUACUAUGAGAAUCUGGUCUAACUUCCACUUGACUAGGAACUUCUGCAUCUUCCUUACAUUCUUUAAGCGUAACGAUAUGUAGAGCUUUGGUUUUACCUACUUUGUCUUGCUCCUCUUUGUUUGGUAUAGAUUGAUUCAUGAGCUUGGGUUGAAGUGGCUUCAUCGUGAUCUUCUUUCCUUUAUGGAUGAAUGAAGAUAUAUUUUCUUGACCCAAGAUGGUAACGUUGUAAUCGUAGAUCCAUGGUCUUCCCAAGAGAAUACGACUCACAUCCAUAUCCACCACAUCACACCAAACAUGAUCUUUGUAAGAUGAAAACUGUAUAGGAAUGUGACAUCGUUGGGUAACAGGGAUAGAAGAUGUAUUGUCAAUCCAUGCUACUCUGUAUGGCACAAGAUGCUUCUCGGGCGACAAACCAAGACGCGAAACAGUUAGCGUUGACACCACAUUGAUACAACUCCCAUUAUCCAUGACCACCUUACAACCUUUAUCUCCAGACUUGAUGUAAGUGUGGAAAAUGGAAGUCCUACGCCAAUCCUCAGCUUCCUUCCUAGGUUGAGCCAAAGCGCACCUUACUACUGCUAAUGUUGGAUGAGGGACUUCAAAGUCGAUUCCACAAUCUUCAUCAGGUUGUUGGGGUUCAUAAAUAUCUUCCUCAAAUUUGCCUUGAUUGUCGGCUUGUUCGUUGAUGCGUGCACACAGAUUUCUUGUUGCCUCCUUCGUUGGGCAUUGGACAGCAAAGUGCCCAAAACCUUGGCAUCUGUAACAUCUUUGCGUUCCACCACCACGUGUAUCAACUAGCACUCCUUUUCCCUUGGCAGUUUUUACUAAAUUAGUCGUAGAUGUUGGAGUCAUAGAACUUGGAGUCACAGAUGUGCCAACAUGAAAAUCAGAUCUUUGAGAAUCAGUUUGCUUGACUACAUUGGACGACUUUAAAUACUUCUCUAAUUCUUGUACCUUCUGAAAAACCCUCUCUAAAGUAUUCACAGUAUGAGGAAUUAAUUCCCUUUGAAGCUCUGGACGAAGUCCUGAUCUAAACCGAGAAAUAGUCAUCCUUUGAUCUUCCCUUAUGUCACAUCGCAACAUGAAUUCCUCAAAUUUUGCAAUAUAUUCAGCAACUAGCAUGUUGUCUUGACGAAGAGUUUGCCAUUCGUCCAACAAACUCUGUUGAUAGGAUAAUGGUAGAUAUUUCUGCUUCAACCUUUCUUUCAUCUCACCCCAAUGGAUGAUUGGUUCUUCACCAGCUCUUUCUAGCUGUGUUUCGACAUUGGUCCAAAACAAUCCAGCUUGACCCACCAAUUUUAUCUUAGCAAAUCUCACUCUUCGAGCUUCAGACAUGUCAUGCCACUCAAAGUAGCGAUCCAUGGCAGCUAACCAGUCGAGGAGUGCUUUAGGAUUUAGCUCACCAUCAAAAUUAGGAGCGUCAACUUUCAUUGAUCUCCUCACCCUUUCAUCACGGUUUUGCUCAUAGCCACGAUGAAAGUUGUGUCUCUCUACGUCUCAAUCAUUCCUUCCAUCAUGACGUCGUCGCUCAUGAUUCCUCUCUUCUCCAUUCACACUUGCUUCAUCAUGUUGGUUAGCUGCUUCUAAGUCUGCAAGGCGACGUUCCACGAGUCUGGAUCUAGUGUCCGAAUCUGCCACUUGCUUUGAUAGGUUUUCCAUCAUCUGAAAAAGUCGUUCAAAGUCCGUCUCUCGCUCGUCUGUCUUUCCAGGCUUAGUCGGAGCCAUCACUUGACACACAGCGUGAAGAACAAGAAAUACUGGAAAAUUUUGAACCCAAGGAAAACAAAAACCAGGCUCAGAUGCCAAAUUUGAUGUAGGAUAUGGGUGAAUUGGAUAUUUAGGUAGUUUAGCGGAAGCGAAAACAAUGGAAAACAGAAAAUAGAACAAAAGGGAUAGGUCUGGAAUCACUCCAGGGGUUUGGCUUCACACCAAGUAGUCUCCAAUAUCUGGAAAUAAGCUUUUCUUUAUAUCUCAACAACUGAAUUUUAAAGAACUACAUGGAGGGUAUUAAUAGCAAACUAAAACCUAGAGACAGUAGGAUAAAAAUCCCUUACUAAAACAGAAAUCCUAAUCCACCAAGGAACUAAGUAAAAAUAAACUAGGAAACUUAAAUCAAAUCCUACUAAAUUCUGGAAACUAAAAUCCUAGUGAAAUCUGGAAAACUAAAGAAUCUAGGAAACUAAUAAAUCAGGAAACUAACUAAUGAUGUCCGCAUCAAUAUAGGUAGUGUUGAUGGCUAUAUAGGUAAUGUGACCCCAAAUUGUUCUCUUGAGAAAAUGCUCAACAGUAACAGCUUAUUAUGUUAAUGGGAAAGCUGUUUCAAAUAGAUUGUUUGAACCUUUGAUUGUUGCUAAAAUUGUUGAUGGUUCCAAUUAGGCAGAAACACAAUAGUCCAAUCUGUCCAGGAGUUUUAUGGUUUGAUUGCAUCUCCUGUGUUAUUCACAUAAAUUUCAAUUUCUAGUGAAUUUCUUCUGAGAUAGUAUUUUGACUGAUUUAUUCACUGAGGUUUCGGUUUGCUUCUAGAAUACAAACUAAUCAUAAAAAACAUGCACUGAGAAUGUGAAUAUAUUUGAUGCGAUGAAAUUUGGUAAAGUGGUAAACUUCGUUUGUUUUAUGCUUGUUAUGUUUUACAUUCUAACUACUAUAUAUGUAAUUGUAUAUAUAUAAUUGUAGAAGAAGAGGGAAACUAUACAAAGGAAAAAAAGCCUCUGUAUAUGUCAUGAAGAUUUUAACUUGAAUUACAUUUUGCAUGCUUGAAUAAAGCUGUGUUUGUCUUUUUUUAGCUGUACUGUUUAGUGCUUAUCAAUAGUUCUAGGGGUCUUUUGUGUCAAUUUGUUCCUGCAAUAUCUAUUUUGUCUCUUGAGGAUUGCAAAUCAGUUAAACAUGGGGUGAUGUUAACGGUAUUAUGGUUUACUUUAUAGAUCCUCUUUAACUGCUAACUGAUGUAUUUGACUCAACCUUUGAUUUCUUGUUGGUUCUGUUUUUAGAGUCAUCUGCACAUGUCAAGGAAGACAAUUUCAAUAUUGCUAACAAGUCUAAACUGAAAGGGAGUCGUCCAAUUCCUGGGGUUGAACAUGCUGCUUUUAAAACAUCUAAACUGGGCAAACUCGGAGGGAGUUCAUCAGUCUAAUAGUGGGCUGCAAAAAGGAAAACAGAAGAAGGUAAGGACAGAUAACACUUUUCCUACAAAUUCCUAUAGUUUUGCUUUACUUGUGUUACCCCAUAUGGUCUGUCUGGCUAUGGUAGGAAUUGAUGACCAUGUAUGACGUUAUUUAUUUGCAGAUAUAUAAUGAAGCUCAAACUGACUGCUAUGUGAGUGGCAAUGAAAAGAUUGAGGUAUGGGGUCCUUUAACCCUAACUUUUUCACAGUGUUUUCACUCUACAGAUGACUCUGGUGGUUUUAAAAAAGUUUGGAUGUUUUAAAUUGUAAGUCUAGAAGGUGGUCCCUUUUUUUCUUUUUCCUUUUUUUGCUAUGAAGAAAUAAGGCUUAGCAUACUUACCUUCAGAGGGUAAUGGCACAUUCUUUUGAUCUUUUAAAAAAUGUUUUUUGUACAGAGCAGAUGGUGAAACAUUCUUUAUAUGUUGCUGUUUUGAAAGUUCUGCAGUCUUUAGAUCGAAAUUAUUCAAAAGUUUCAUGUCAUUUCUUAUGGUAGUCUCAAAUCACAAUUGGUUUUCUUUAUAAUUUUCAUGUGCCUAAUCACUUUUGACUUUUGGUAUUUAUAAUUGGUUUCAGGCCACAGUUGAGGUGGAAGAAGUCCGCGAGUAAAGGUAAAUGAUCUUCACAUUAUACAACACACACAAAGCAAGGGAAAUUGGUGAAGAAGACUCUACGGAAUGCAUCUUCUACUACUGAUCGUAAAAGGGAAGAAAACAAUUCAGGUUUAUCAACAGUACAAGUUCCAUCUGCAAACCCGGCCAACUUACCUACAAAAAACAGGGGUAAAUGGGAGAUAGACAUGCAGAAAUCAUCAAUACAGAAGGAUGCAAAGUCUCCUGAGAGUAUUUUAGAUGACCAACCUGAUAAACUGGUUCCUUCAUUACGUAACAGAGAACUAAAUUAAGGUAAACGUGUCAUCAUUUAUAUUGCCAUCUGAAUUGUUUGAAUAUUUGAUUAUGUUUUUUAUAUAUGUACAUCUACAUUUACAGGAAAAGCUUUCUAACUGCUUAUCUCGGUAUCAAGUGCGGAGAUGGUGUGCUUUUGAAUGGUUUUACAGUGCAAUUGAUUACCCAUGGUUUGCUAAAAGGGAGUUUGUGGAAUACUUGGAUCAUGUUGGAUUGGGUCAUGUUCCAAGAUUAACUCGUGUUGAAUGGGGUGUAAUAAGGAGGUAGAUGUCCCUGAUCUGCUUCUUUCACUGGAACUUUUUGUUUGGCCAGUUUUGACUUGCCUUUCAGAUUGAUAAUCUCUGCAAAUUUUGUUGUUGGUACUUGUUGAUGCAGCUCCCUUGGCAGACCACGGAGAUUUUCUGAACAGUUCUUGAGCGAAGGAAAAGAGAAGCUUAAUCAGUACCGGGAAUCUGUUAGAACUCAUUAUGCUGAACUUAAUGCUGGUACAAGGGACGGACUUCUGACUGACUUAGCUCGGCCUUUAUCAGUUGGACAGCAUGUCAUUGCUUUUCAUCCCAGGGCAAGCGAGAUCCACAAUGGAAUUGUCCGUUGACCAUAGUAGGUGUUCUGUGCAGUUUGACCAGCUUGAAUUAGGGGUUGAAUGUAUGAUGGUAAUUAGUUUCCUUCACUGAAUUUUAUGACAUAAUUACGUAUUUUUGUUAAGGAGAAUAUUUCAUUUUGUUGAAACCUUCACGGGAGGAACUUUCUUUGGUGGCCAAUAGAAUGCUGGUUUCAAAUAUCGUUGGAUAAGCCUUUAAAGCAGUUACAGAAAGAAAGAAAAAAUCUACAUAUUGUAUAUAUGCAAGUAGAAUAUCUGUCAGUUGGCCUAGAUUUGAAUUAUAAAUCUGUUCGAGUUCAGCCUCUUCAUUAAGAUGGACUUUUCUGGUACUAGUCCAAUUUAGUUGAUUCCAAUUUUUAGAAUGGUCAACUCACUUGAAUGUAACUUCUUAGGAAAUCAGUUAUUGUUAUUGUGCGUAUAUGGUCAUUAUUUUGAAAUAUAUUCUGUGUUUGCUUUUCCAUUACUUCUGAAGACUCUCUCUAUUCCUUUCGUUCUGCGAACAGACUAUUUUUACUUGUUUAUAUAUUGACACAGGUGUGAUGGAGAUAUCAUUGUUCAAAGCACUUGUUAAUAACAUAGAGCUAGACAAAAGGACACGUACACCCAAAUGGAAUUGGAUGAGGUGUGGAAUUGGAUGAGGAGCGAGAAGAAUUGGCAACUCAUGUCCUAUAAUGGCUUUUUGAUUGAACUAAACAUUCCUCCAUUUUUCAUGUCUUUCUAGCUAGUAUUUUGCAUAUAUAUAGACAAGUAUGGAUAAUUUGUGGUGUGAGGUUGGAAAAAUUGUGAUUUGGAUGUGAUAAGUAUGGAUCUUUCAAGUAUUUUGCUUAUAUAUAUAUAGAUAAAUAUGGAUAUAUUUAAAUUACUAUUUAUUUAUGUUUUUUAUGAGCAAUGGCAACACAACAUGAUUUGGAAAUGAUGCCUUUUCGAUAUUCUAAGACAGUAACCAAGUAAAGUGUGAUGUGGAACUUGCAAAAUGCCUACACUUUCCUUAUAUGAGUUAUGCCUAUUGUUUAUAACAACUUCAAUUUUGCAAAAAUAACUUGAGUUAAAAUAUUAAAACAACCACUAGACAUCUAUGAUCACUGAUGCCUAAAAUUAGAAAUAGCAUAAGCAUUUACAUAACAACCAGCGCUAUUGGAGGCUUUUAAUGUCCACAAAAUAGAAAAAGCGAUGACGUAUAACAUAAUUUGCAACAGCACUAUUUGCUUCUAAGAUGUUGUAAUUGAUAAUACGCAUCAGUAUAUGUGAUAUCAUUGAUGCUGUAAUUUCUCUUUAGCCACCUCCCUUUUAAAACCACUGAUGCUGUUUUAGGUUUAGGCAUCAGAAGUCAAUGGUUUUUUCGGCACAUGGAAAUCAUUUAUGCAUCGGAUUUUACCAAAUAUCCGAUGCAGUAACUAUAAAAAGGCCACGGAUAAUAUCCGUUGCCUAUUACAUAGUAAUAGGCAACAGGCUUGAAUACCAUGGUAUUUACAGGUAAUAGGCAACAAAGAUUUUAUCCGUUGCUAAAGGCCUUUUUGGCAUAGUGAAUUUUUUACCAGAUAACGACACGGGAGCAAAAUCACAAUCAAGUGAGUUUCCAUAGGUGUACCAUUCUUGCUUGGAUGCUCGGUUCUUGGAUCUCUUCAGGUGCUUCAAGACUUUGAAAUGUAACUAAUCAAUUUGCUAGACCAUGCUUAACAAAAUGUUGAAGUUUAAUUACUUUGAUAGUACAAUUUCCCUUCAUUUCCAUUUGGACAAAUGUAACUUGACAAUGAAUUUGUUGAUCUUUCUAAUGUGUAUGGAGCUAUUUUUAUUCUUAAUGAAAACUCACUAUUCUGGGCUAUCUUAUGGUUGAAAAGGAAGAAAAUAGUCAUACUUGGAUAGAUUGUAUUGUUAUAAAGUAAUUCCAAAAAUAAUAUUAAAAGUAAUAAUAUUUAGUAUCACAACAUGCAAAGAGUGUUGUUGAAAUGUAAAAACAACAACACGCGCAUGAACGUUGUUAAUCAGACAUACAACAACAUGCAGAACACAUUGUUGUUCUAUACUUUCACAACAUGCGCACGUUGCCAUUACUGGUGUUUACAACACGCGAUCAAAUCAAGGACAACAUGCAAAGCGCGUCACUGAAAGCCAUGGAGCUUUUAACGACAUCGGCUUCAACGUGUGUCGUGUGUUGUCAAUACGUUUUCACAACGCACAAUGUGCAUUGUUAAAUGACUUUUUUCUUGUAGUGAAUGAACCUUAUCAUUGUAAUCACAGUGCAAGAGCUUGUAAAUGUGCACCUAAAUCUUGUAAUCUACAAGAUUAAUGACAUACUUUUCAAUUGUAUGGAAUGUUUAUGUUUCGAACUGAUCCAAAACUUCUAGUCGAUAGAACUAUGAAUUCCUAGUUAUAUAGGAAUAAGGGAACGAGAGGAAUUUUAAGACAAUUAGAGAAACAAAAGGAAGAAGCUAAGGAACUGCUUUGAGUUCUGCUUUCAGAAUUGCUUGAUUCAUUUCAAUGAAUAACUUACGUAUUUAUACAAGGUUCGGUUGCUAAAAUUAACUCAACUAAAAUAGUAAAUUAUUUUAAGCCAUAAAGAAUGAAUGGCCUAAAAUCUUAAUCAUUUUGAAACUAUUAACUUUUUAUGGUUUAUAACAAUUCGUUAUAUAUCAUUGGUUUUUAUGGUUUUAAAUAAUUUAAUAAUAUAAUAUAAUAUAAUUACUUAUAAUUAUAUUAUAUUAUGUUUAUUUUUGUCUGCUGGUUCAUCGUUAAAGUUCAUGAAUUAUAUUACCAAAAAGUAGUACCUAAUUUUACAAUAAUGUAAUUAAAAAACAUCAAAAUUACACAAAAUGCCACUCCCUCUAAUUUUACCAAAACCAUGUUCCAGUUACACAAAACCUCCAGCAAUCCACCUUCCGGCCAACCGCCCAUCGCCGGGCCAGCACCUGCCGGCCAGCCACAGCAUCCAUAUUCUUGCCAGUCGCCGCCACCACCGUUGCCAGUUUCCGGCCAGCCACCGUUGCCAGUUUCCGGCCAGCCACCGCCGCCAUCUUCCUACCAGUCGCAGGCCGCCAGCCACUGCCAGUGUCCGGCCGGCUACCGCGCACCAGCCGCUGCCACAAACUUCCGGCCAGCCAUCACCGGUCACCAACUAUGUUGCCCUCAACCUAAAAAAAAUAUGAAAUUUAGUGUGUUUGAAGAGACUCGAACCUUGACCCUCAUAGGAGAGUCGCCUUAUUCACAAACCACUACACCAACCUUGUUUUUGUGAUUUUUUGUCAGUUAUGUAAUAUUUAUAUUAACAGUCGAGGGUUUUUAUAAAAAAAAAAAAAAAAAUUAUUUCAACAUUGAUACGUGCAAAAUUUGUACCAAAUCCCACAUGCUUAGCUCUAGAGUUAUGCAAAACAAAAUACUGUAGAUAUCAAUAAUGAAAAUAAAAACAAAACUUGUGUCAUCGCGAAUGGACUCGAACCUUGACCCUCAGAGGAAAGCUCACUCACAAACCACUACACCAAACUUGAUUUUGUAAUAUUUAUUCAAUUAUACAAUAUUUAUAUAAACAAUCAACGGUUUUAAAAAAAAAAAUUAUUUCAACACUUAUUCACACAAAAACUACAAAUAAAAACAGAAACUGCAACAAAAAUACAAUGUAGAUAUCAAUUAUGUUAUAAAAAAACAAAAACAAAAACAAAAACAACUACAAAAAUAAUUUGUAAUUAAAUUAAAACUGCAAUGCAGUUUCUAGCUUUCAAAAGUCCAAUUUUGAGUUCCCUUGCUCUUUGGUAGUUCUACUCUUCUCUUGCCCACCCAAUUCCUCAUAUGGGUAGCCUCUAUUCUUCAAAUUGAUGAGGUCGAAGGCUAAGGAAAGGACAAAAGUCAAAUUGUAAUUAAAUGAAAACUGCAAUGCAGUUUCCAGUUUCCAAAAGACCAAUUUUGAGUUCCCUUGCUAUUGGGUAGUUCUACUCUUCUCUUGCCCACCCAAUUCCUCAUCUAGGUAGCCUUUACUCUUCAAAUUGAUGAGGUUGAACGCCAAGGAAAGAACAAAAAUCAAAUUGUAAUUAAAUGAAAACUGCAAAGUAGUUUCCAAUUUCCAAAGGUCCAAUUUUGAGUUCCCUUGCUCUUGGUAGUUCUACUCUUUUCUUGCCCACCCCAUUCCUCAUCUGGGUAGCCUCUACUCUUCAAAUUAGUGAGGUUGAAGGCCAAGGCAAGAGCAAAAAUCCAAUUGUAAUUUAAUGAAAACUGCGUUGCAGUUUCCAAAACUGCAAUGCAGUUUCUAGUUUCCAAAAGUCCAAUUUUGAGUUCCCUUGCUCUAGGGUAGUUCUACUCUUCUCUUGCCCACCCAAUUCCUCAUCUAGGUAGCCUUUACUCUUCAAAUUGGUGAGGUUGAAGGCCAAGGAAAGAACAAAAAUCAAAUUGUAAUUAAAUGAAAACUGCAAAGCAGUUUCCAAUUUCCAAAAGUCCAAUUUUGAGUUCCCUUGCUCUUGGGUAGUUCUACUCUUUUCUUGCCCACCCCAUUCCUCAUCUGGGUAGCCUCUACUCUUCAAAUUAGUGAGGUUGAAGGCCAAGGAAAGAGCAAAAAUCCAAUUGUAAUUUAAUGAAAACUGCGUUGCAGUUUCCAAAACUGCAAUGCAGUUUCUAGUUUCCAAAAGUCCAAUUUUGAGUUCCCUUGCUCUUGGGUAGUUCUACUCUUCUCUUGCCCACCCAAUUCCUCAUAUGUGUAGCCUCUACUCUUAAAAUUGGUGAGGUUGAAGGCCAAAGAAAGAACAAAAAUCCCUCAUAGUUUUAUCACCCAAAACCCAAAAAUUGACAAAAGUGUUAAACAAUAAACCCAUUAUUAAAUAGACAAAUCUACCAACCAAUAACUGGAACAAUUAACUAAUUCCAACUAUCAACUAGUAAAAGUACAUUUCAACACACUGCACAAGUGAGAAUGGAAGUUCUAUUACACUCCAAGCAUUGCAAGUUUGUUGUCUGCCCGUCACAUUUGGUCUCUAGCUUGAUAAUGGAACUACUAAUUACAAAUACAAUCCAUACUUGUAAUAAAAAAUAUGGUAUUAAGAGUAACAGCCAGAACUCAAUUAGACCAUUUCGUAACAAAGACUACUUAAGGACACCUUAAUGGAAAGAUAACUCAGUCAGUUAACCAACUAGAUAUUCAUCGAAAAUAUCCAAAACUGCUCAUACAAAUUUCUAAACAAAACAAUAAAAAUCCAAUUGUGUAUUUCCAUACUUGAUUAGAAAUUUCACUGUCAAAAACCUCAAAUAAAUCCAAACAAUAGACUGCACAAAGAUUAUGUUCACUAUCAAAGUUCACCAUGGCUGCAAAAUCAUGUCAUACCAACAUUGAAGCGCCAAAUACAAUACUCAGUUUAGAGAAACAAGCCCAAAAAUUUGAUCCCAAGAACAAAACCUUCAAUUUCUGUGCAAAAUCGCAUGAAUUGAGAAAUCCUUAUAGCAAUCAACAGGAACCCAAAAAAAAGUUGCGAAAAAAAUCCUUACCUUGGCAAAAAAAUCCUUACCUAUUCUUAUUCUUUUUCCACGCAAUCGUUCCAGUACCAAUUCAGCUUGAAUCCCUAAUUAGCCCAAAUUAAUCAAACACUUUUCAUUUUUCAUUCAUACAAAUCCAAAUGGGAACAAAUUAGAAUAAAUUUCUAGUUUCUAUGUUAAGCACGUACCGGUAUUGAGGGGUAUUUCGUAGGCUUCUUCGUGGCCUGCGUCCAUGGCGAAGUCGCCGGCGGAGAGAUUGGAAAGAGAUAGGGCGUCCAUGGCGCGCCAGCUUAUAGAAUAGUCUUGACGGUGUCUCCAUGGCCUAGCUUGGCUGCGUGCAUCAGUGGGUUCCCACCCGGUACGGACUUGAACGUGAUGGCUUGCUUUUAGAUGGCGUAUCAGGACGGCAGUGGCUUCAUCGCGACAAGGAGUUGCAGAGAGCUCCGUUGUCGUAUAAGAGAGGAUGAGAUCAAAUUUGGCGAAGGCUUUUAAUAAACAAAAAAGGGUAAAAUUGUAUAUUACCUUUGCAAUUUUGAUAAGCCCAACGAAUUUGGGCCUCCAUUUUGGCUAAAUCCAAAACAAAAUUUGAUUUUCAUGUAUCAAAACCCAAACAAAAAUAGCCAAAAUCUCAAAUACUAAUUAAUAAAGUUACUUAUGUCUAAUACCUAAUUUUUCUGUUAAUUAAUGCGUGCUUUGUGUAAUUACAAGUAGUUAAAAAAUGCUUUGCUAUGUAUUUGUGUCAAGGGAUGUCAUAUGUGAUAUUGUGAUGUAUUAACUAUGGUUAUCACAUAUAUAAAAUAAAAUGAGUGGUGUGCUGAUGUGUCCAGUUUUUGCUCAUCAUUCGUUAUAUCAACCACAAAUAGCCUUAAUACUUAACAAUUAUAACAAGUUACAACCCAACUGGUUUGGACGAAAAUGUUCAAUUAACUAUUGGGAGACUUUGGAAAAACCCAAAGGAGAUUACAGAGCAGAUUACAGAAAAAUGAAAAAAAAUGCAUUUAUUAUAAGACUGUUGUAAUUGACAUUGAGAGAAGAGAGAUUAGGAAAGGCAGAGAAGUCAAACCUGUUGAGUGUUCCAUCAAGGCCAGAAUCCACCAAAUUUAUUUCAACAAUGCUGCCAGCUUCAUUGCACUGAAUUCCAGUCCAGUUGCAAGGGCUGCUUCUGCUGCUAGUGAGAGUCCAUGAUGUUAAAGAAGAAGAGCUUAAACUGAUUUUCCAGUUUAGCAGAGCUUCUGCUUCAGUUUGUGCAUGGAUUGCUCAGAAAAAGCCCCAGCGUCAGCGCCAAACACCGGCAACUACUCAGAAAAUGCCCCCUGCUUCUCCCAUCCCCGUCGACACCAACUCCGUUUCAAAAAGGUCAGCCCUUUUCUUGGAUUCGCUGUUUGGAUCCCAAGAUCAUUCAAUUCGCAACUAAACUUGGUUUGUUUCAAUGCUGUUGUAGGCUUCAGAAGGAGUUGAUGUCUCUGAUGGUAUGAUAUGUUUCUCUCUUUUAUUACUUUGUUUGGAAAAAUUCUUUGCUUUUGAUUUUGCCUGAAUCUCUGUUAAUCUUUCAUUUCUUGUUAUAUUUGUUUAUUUUUGUCUAAAUCUCGAACUGGGUUUUCUGUGGGUUCAAUCUUAAUUUCAUAAGCUGAAACUUGAAGCAUAAUCUAGAAGAAAAAAAAAAGAAGGGGACUUUCUUGAUUCUUGAUAAUCCUGGGAUGAUGGGGAUGUGUGGUGCAGAAGUUAGGUAGGUAGGUGUGUGUGUGUGUGUGUGUGUGUUCUCUAGGAAUUCAAUGCAAAGCAUCAGAUUAUGGCUGCACUGCGUGUGUGGUUGUCUGAGAAGUCUUAACCAUUAUCACACUUCCACUUGUAGGCUUUACACACUGGAAGGAUAUGUUGUUCUGUGCUCAAUUAAAAGAUUGUCAACUGCUCAUUUAGUUUUUCACAUUCCAUUGAUAUUUUACUGACAAACUGCUGUUCUUUGCAGUCUUCAGUCCUUCUUCCAGUUGUGAUGACUCUUAUAGCAACACGACCACAAGAUAGUGAAUUUCUAAAGAUUUUAGCUAAAUUUUGCUAUCCUAAGUGGGCUUUAGAAGCAUUUGUGAUUGCAAAUGCUGAAAGGUACUGCGCCAAUUUCCCUAUAUCUGAAAAAGUGAUUAGAAUUCUAUUACCUACUGAAAGUGAAAACGUUACCCCUUAAUCUAGCAAUCUGCUGAUGGAGGAGUCUAACUUUGUAAAUCCGAGAACUGAAAUGGAAGUGUUCGCUCAUGCUGCGAAUUACAAAGAGGCUAGCCGGAAGACCACCAACGAAGAGGAUCAAAACUUUUGGUGAAGGUACAAGGCCAUUGAAAUGCAGACGGUGCAUUAUUGCAAGGCGGUGGUAUGAACAUUCCUUCUCAGUUGACGAUUGCUUAUGUUAGAUAUGAUUUAGUAAUAUAGUUAGUUUCUGCAUUGUAGUUUUUAGUUGCUUGUAAUUGGCUACACAACUUCUAAUUGGAUAUUAUGAUUUUUUUUAAUUUUAAAGUUAAUGAAAAUUAUACAAUUGUUUCAUCAAUGGAUAUUCAUUUUUAAUUGCCAUUCAAUGCUUGUUUUCACAUUUAGCAGAUUUUGUUUCAUAAACUGCACUGCAUUUUCCGUUUGUUGCAGUUUCUUGUUUCAUAAUUCGAUUUCAGAAUAAUUUUUUCUAGUAUAUGGGAAUGUUACAACUACUCAUGGAGUUAAAUGUAUUUUGAUAUUAGUUUUAGUACUUUGAUCAUGGCUUGGCCUUUUGGUUUAUUUUCACACAACUCUAGCAGCUGAACCAUUGCUACCCAAGCCUUUCCCAAUAUCUGGAAUAGGAAAAAUAGGACUCCCAUAAAAUUUUCGAAAGAAGUCAGACUUGUAGUAACACUCAACAUAAUCAUAAACUGAAUCUUUUUUUGCUAGAAUUGUAGCCAUGACAUGCGUACAAGGAAAACCAUCAAUUUGCCAAAGACAGCAAGAACAUGUCAUUUGCCCAAGAUCAACCAUCACAGAAAAUCAGCAAAUACUUCAAAAACAGUGAAACUAGAACGGCGUACGGCCCAAGUCCUACUAGCCUCCACGUUUUCCCACAGUCUAGUUUCCUUCUCUAGACACAAAAUUGUUGUCCACUUCUCAACUUCAAUUUGUCGUUGAGAAUUCAAUACCAUCAAUUUCUGUGGAAUCCCUUCUAUCAAUGGUAACACUGACAAAUCUCGAAAUACACCAACCCAGUUAUUAAACUACUCGACUCAACUGUUCGACUUCUCCCCAUAAUGCAUUCCUUUAAAAAAUGCGUUGGCAUAGUGAUCUCUAGACAAAUCAUAUAUAAAUGUCUUCACUUUCAAACUCCCAACAAUCACCAACUCAUCUAUUGCUACUUUAAACUCUUCCUCUGUAACAGCAUAUGCUCAUCUACUAAAUAGAUUGAUAACAUGGUCUUGGAGCAGUUUUCCAUAACUUGACUUCGGGUACUUUGAUAUCAAAUUUUGUUUGAGGUGAUAGUAACAGUAGGAAUGAGGCCAUCUAGGAAACACAGCCCCCAUUGCAUUUAACAAACUUUGAUUACAGCCCAAGAAAAAAGUCACCAUUCUCCCCAUCGGUGGCAAUAUAGCAACCAAAUGUUGAAGAAACCAAGUCCAACUCUCCUCUGUCUCAGAAUCAAUAACUAAAACAAAACAAAAGGCACAAGUAUAAGCAACAAACGGAAACUGCAGUGCAUUCUAUGAAAACAAAUCUGCUCAAAUUUGAAAGGAAACCAAAAGGCAAAUCCAUGAUCAAAGUACAAAAACUAAGUUCAAAAUACAUAGAAGUCCAUGAGCGGGUGUAACAUUCCCACAGACUUGCAAAUACUAUUCUGAAAUUGAAUUAUGAAACAAGAAACUACAACAAAUGGAAACCGCAGUGCAGUUUAUGAAAACAAAUCUGCUCAAGUGUGAAAAGAAAACUAAAGAAAAAGCCAUGAUCAAAGUACUAAAACUAAGUUCAAAAGACAUUUAAGUCCAUGAGCAGUUGUAACAUUCUCAUAGACUUGCAAAAAAUUAUUCGAAAAUCGAAUUAUAAAACAAGAAACUGCACUGUAGUUUAUGCUCAUAAACUCCAACAAACGGAAUUUGCAAUGUAGUUUAUGAAUGCCCAAAGAACAAUUGACAACAUACAAACAAUAUUACACAAAACAGUAAACAUAAUCUGCAAUGCAAAGUACACAAAAUGCCAGCAAUAUUACACAAAACAGUAGUGCAGAUUAAACAAAAAUCCAAUACAGUGCAAUAACUACACCUUGAUUCCCAUUCUUGCCAGAAGCACAAAGAAGAUGCCCAUUGUACUUGCUCUUAAAAAAUAUAGCAUCAGUGAACAACAAAGGGAUGCAAUAUUGAAAUCUAGCAAUUAAAUAGCCAAAUGAUACAAAAAAUGGGCUAAAUCGAUUAAUUCCAUCUUCACUCGCAUAGAGAACCACCGUUAGUUUCCUUAAAGGCAUCCACGUACCACACUAACUCGUUGAAGGACUUCGACUCAUCACCAUGAACGUCCAGUUUUGCUAACUCUUAGAUACUAUAAUAAUCUUUAAACUCGUUUAUAGUCUCAACUGGCUUCAGCUCUAGUUUUGCAUGAAUUAUGUCAACAAAGAGAGAGGACUCCACAUGAGACCUCAUCAUCUUAUUCUUUGAUUCUUGUAUCUGACCCGCACAUGUAUGCACAUUAUUUAAUGUCCGAAUUACAAAACAACCAGUAGCUUCACACCAAGACGCAUAAACAUGCCAACUACAACCCUCCAACUUCUUAUUUCAACAAACAUCAAUCACUUGCUUCUUGUCAUUGCCGGCAUAGAAAAAAUUAAAUCCUACUUCAAGAGCAUACUUGCACAAUUUUAACCGGAAGUCCUCUACACCACCAUCAAACUUCUGCCCUACAUGAUGUAUGUAGUCUCCCAUUCAUUUGACAACAAAGGCUUAGAACUGGCUCUCUUUGAUCUACCCAAAAAUUCAUUUCUGUCUUCAACAGUAUUAGAACACGAUGACUCACCCUUUUCACAUGCUAUCAACUCCUUAUUUCCACAAAAAUCACCAUUAUCCUCACUGCUCCCGCAUAAAUCCUUAACUAAAAUAUCCACACUCUUCGCAUUUGAUAUCGCCAAAUAUGCCAUCAUCAUGUCUAAAUCACUAUUCGUUUCUGGUAAACAACUCGAAUAACCGAGCAGCAAAUACCGUAACGUGAAAAUACCAUAACCAUGGAUGACUUUGCUGAAACUGAAAACAUAAUGGUUUCCAACUUCUAUGUGCACUUGGCUAUGCCACAAACCUCCAUUAGCCUUGAAAAUGCAAACAAAACAACAAACAAAAACAUAAAACAAUUUAAAUCAGUAAAUAACAUAGAUGAGAAAUUUUAACAUUCCCAUAGACUUGCAAAUAUUAGUCUGAAAUCGAAUUAUGAAACAAGACAUUGCACUGCAGUUUCUAGUAAAAAACUGCAACAAAUGGAAAUUGUAGUGAAGUUUAUGACAACAAAUCUGCUCAAGUAUGAAAAGAAACCAAAAGACAAAGCCAUGAUAAAAGUACUAAAACUAAGUUCAAAACACAAUUAAGUCCAUAAGCAGUUGUAACAUUCUCACAGACUAGCAAAAAUUAUUUUGAAAUCGAAAUAUGGAAUAGGAAAAUACACUACAGUUUCUGAUAAAAAAAAUGAAAUAAACAGAAACUGCAGUGCAGCUUAUGGGAAAACAUAUGCUCAAAUUUGAAUAAAAAUCAAAAGGAAAAGCCAUGAUAAAAGUACUAAAACUAAGUUCAAAACACAUUUAAGUCCAUAAGCAAUUGUAACAUUCCCAUAUACUUGCAAUGCAGUUUAUGAAACAAGAAACUCAAAAAUUGCAACAAACAGAAACGACAAUGUAGUUUAUGGUAGAAAAUCAAAAAACUUCGAAUAGAAACCAAAAAGAAAAGCCACGAUCAAAGUACUAAAACUAAAUUCCGAAAACAUAUAAGUCGAUAUAAAUGAAAAAAGGUUCUCAAGUACUCAUACCUCAACACCUAGGACUGCCAAAAAUCUCCCCAACCAAACAGCUGCUCAAAAUCAAAUCUGAUCACAAAACGAAGAAGAUACAAAAUGGCACGCACAAAAUCGCGCCACAAAACUGAGCUCGAAAUAGGAGAACUAAGAUCGAACCAGAGCACAGAAAUCACACGCCAAAACAAACCUUGAUUCUGCAUGCAAAAGAAAAAUUACACCCAAAACAUAAAGAUCAAUCUGAAUAGCACAAAACAUAAUCAGAAUAAAACAAAAAAACGAAGAAAAUCGAACGAAAACCUACCAGCAAAUUGAAGCUCCAAUCGCAGCUAAACGAACUAGAGCUCCAAAACGUCAAACUGAACGAAAACGAAAGAGAAAAGUUCAAAUCACGCGUGAUUUAAAUAGACAGGUGUAAAAAAGUCAUUUACUUUGCAAGUUUCAGAGUUAGGCCAGGCUUUUUAAGAAGAAAGGUAGCAUUGUCUUUUCAGUUAUUAUUUUAAGCUGACCCAACGAAUCUGGACCUCCUCUUUGGCCUAAUCCAAAAUAACAAUUCUUUCCUAGGUAUUAACCUAAACAAAAAUACCCAAUGUCUCAAAUACUAAUUAGUAAAGUUACUUAUGUCUAAUACCUAAUUUUUCUUAAAAUAAAAUAAGUAGUUUGAUGUGUCUAGUUUUUGCUCACCAUUCGUUAUAUCAACUACAAAUAGCCUUAAUGCUUAACAAUUGAAAAACAUUGACAAUAUAUAUAUAUAUAUCAAUAAAAUAAUGAAAAAAAGAUUGGGGAUAAUUACUGGAUAAAGUAAAAGUUGAAUGGGAGUAUUUUUGCUCAUCACUUUAACUCAGUUGUAAUCUCAUCACCCUUCUCAACACUUGACACGUGUCUAUUAACAUAGCCAUGGUUCCAUAAAUACAAAGUAAAGAGUUAACUAUGGUUAUACCAAUAGACAUGUGUCAAGCGUUGAGAAGGUUGGUGAAGGUACACUUUAAGUUAAAGUGAUAAGGAAAAAGUAUUUUGAGUCCGAGCAAGACAUGAAUAGUUGUAUUUUAGAGAGUAGAAAUUUGAGUUUAGCCCCCAUCAUGGUUGGAGAUGACCUUACUUGUCUUCUCCGCACAUAUUGUGAUCAUUAAUAAAUGUGUUUCAUGUGUUUCGUGAGUUUCAUGAUGAGCAAGCACCUGCUACCACUUAAAGUUAUAAUAAAAUAUCAGGCAAUUUUACUGUAAUGACUUGUAUUUAAGGAGAAGCCAAGUUAUACGUUGUUUAACAUUCUGCCUUAUACAUAUCAAAUUUCAAAACUGAUAAGCAUAAGCAUGGCUCUGCACGGUUUUAUUGGGACUCAAAUAGAGCUCAAGUCUCCUGCUGAUAAGUUCUACAAAAUCUUCAAGGGUCAAGCCCACCUCAUCCCAAAUGUUUCUUCUGGCCAUAUCAAAGGUGUUCAGGUGCAUGAAGGAGAUUGGGAAACGCACGGCUCUGUUAAGAUCUGGAAUUAUCAUCUAGGUAAUUAAGUAACUAUAUGGUGAACCCACUUUGGACAAGUUUAAUUAUUUUCUGUUUCGUUGUUAACUAUGUCAUAUGGGUAUGAAAAAAAAAAUCAUAAGAUGAGCUUAUAUAUAUAUUUUUGUUGUGAAAUAAAUGUGACAGGGAACGAAGUUGGGACAUUCAAGGAAAAGGUCGAGUACGACGACGAGAACAAGGCGGCAACUUUGAUUGGAUUGGACGGAGAAAUGUUCAAGUAUUACAAGAGCAUUAAGGGCAUCUAUCAGUUCGCUCAAAAGGGUGAUGUUAGCGUUGCCAACCUGACGAUUCACUAUGAGAAACGGAAUGCGAAUGUUGAAGCUCCAGAUAGAUAUGUUGGUCUCAUGGUUACCCUCGUCAGGGAUCUUGAUGCUCACUUUGCCAAGGCAUAAUCGAAUAUCAAAAGCAAAUAUAUAUAUAUAUAUAUGUAUGUUAAUGCGUGCUUUGUGUGGUUAAUAUUAUAAGUAAUGCUUUGUUUUAUGUGAGUUUUUCUUUGUGGCAUGAAGGGAUUUCAUAUGUGAUAUAUUGUGAUGUAUUAGCUAUGUGGGUUAUCACAUAUAUAAAAUAAAAUGCGUGGUGUGCUAUAUAUAUAUAUAUAUAUAUAUCUCCAGUUCUUGAUCAUCAUUCAUAUAUCAAGUACAAAAUAGACUUAAAAAUCAACAAUAUCCAACUGGUAUAUGUUGCGAGCUUGGAUUCAAAGUACUUAAAAGAUAAAAAAAUCUGAAGUAUGUUGCGUGCUUGGAUUCGAAUUUCACAUUGAACACUUAGCCUUGUAGAUGAAAAAGACACAAGCUAAAGUAGUAGUAAAAAAAGUAGUAGAAGCAGCUGGAAGCUCUUUCCUUCAUCAUUUGCGCUCUCCUUUCCCCUCUUCGUCUCUCUCUUUCUUUAUCUCUCUGCCCCUUCCCUGUGAAAUUGCUGGUUUACUUUAAUAUUAACAAUCGACAUAAAGAAAAGAAAGUGUUGCUGGAUGCGACGAAUGAAGGAUAGAUUCCACAAAGAAAAAAGUUUUCACGUUCUUCCAUUCCAUAAGCAACACUGAAAAAUUCCCUAAUAAUGUAUGGACGAAACUCUCAUGACAACUAAUUCAAAGCAAACACAACUCAACCCAGCUGACAGUGCAAUAAGCAUCCUCCCUCUCAAAACCCACCACGUAACAUAAUUAAAUUCAUUGUUAAGGUUCAUGAAUUAUAUUAUCGAGUUAAUUAAUGCGUGCUUUGU